rnacentral:lncRNA from 1 species
UUGCACGUUCACUCACACAUGCUGCUUCUACUCCGGAAGUACGCAUCCACAUACAUCCACUCAUUUCCAUAUCCAGAUUCACCCUAAAUUAUUCUACUCCUAUCUGGGAGAGAAUAGCAAAAAACAUUCUCCUAUUUCUGUUUUUCCCUGAGAAAUAAAUGCUCGAGUUAUCUUAGUUACUACCACUUGCUAUAUUAUUUUAGGAGAUGAGUGCUCUAACAAAAGAGAAAUACGAGGAAAUAAAAAGGGGCAAGUGCCCGGAACCUCGAAAGAAAAGAAAAAGUUAGACGAGAGGUAAAAAUGGACAAGUGUCCGACAGUAGAAUUAGGGGUACAAGAUACCCACCUGAGAGAAAAGAAAAAGAAAAUAUAGAGCAUAUCAUUCUCCUCAAAAAGUUUCAAAAGAGCAAGAAAGGUAUGUAUCCCCUCAAAAGAGCACAAGUAGAAUUAGACUUUCACCAUUGUUAUCACCAUCAUCACCAUACACCAUUCAUUCGCCACACAUGCACAUCUUUAUUUGACUUAUUGACUUGUUCUUCUGGAUCCAUGGUUUGACUAUGCAAUAAAUGUCUUGUAAGUAUGUAUUAGCUGUCUCGCACCUAUGAGCUCCAGAUAUCAAAACCUUAUUAGAGUAGGGUGAGAGAGAAGGCAAUGCUACUAUGCCUCAUACCAAAAAUACCACAUACUUUGAGAGAAAGUAUACACCAUUACUGCCUUGGUAAGGAUCCAGAAAUACCACAAAAGAGAGACUAGAGAGAGUCAUACAAGGAAUCUCUGAGUUUUAUUUGAAAAUCUACAAAAACUCCAGAGCUAUAGUUAAUCGAAGAACAAGAGACAUGGCGCUUGACUAGACCGUUCUAUCUUUUAACUGCUCAAGACACAGGUGACGGUUGCAAGCCCCAUGGUGGAAGGUAAAAUGAGUAAAUUUAAAUCUUAAAAGUUUACCCUAACCCAGAGAUGAGAUCUUGUUUGAACGCAUGUGUACCUUUAAGGUAUAAAAUCACUGCAGAAACUCUUGAGUUCAUCUUUGCUCAAGGACGAGCAAAGGUUAAGCUUGGUCGAGCUUGUUGACGGUCCUUAAUGCUCACAUUUAACUGUCAACUAAACAUGGAAAAGGAUCCAAAUGCAACUGACACCCAUACUUAGGGUUUUAUCUGACAGAAUUCCAUGAGUUUUGGUGUUUCUCUAUUUCUGCAGGGGGUUAUCUGGAAAUACGGAGCAAAGGCCCACACGUCGGGUUUACAUAGUGAUAUUAAUGUGUCGUGCAAUUUUCUAUCAUCUAGAAGACUCCAGAAGCCACAGGAACGAACGGGAAGCCGAGAGGGCUCAGGGACAGGGCGCACGCCCUACUCCCUAGGGCGCCCGCCCAGCUUCAGUGUCCAAUUCGGACUCGUUUCGUGAAUCACGCUCCACCGACCUAAAGGAUCAAGGAAAACUGUGCGAUUAAUGCCGGUUUGAUCCGACAGCCCAGAUUUAUCUGAAAAGACUAUAUAAGCAAGGCCCUCUGGCCCUUGGAGAUCAUACCUCUUCUACAGAAUCAAAGUUAGGGUUUCAAUUCUUCAUCCAAGUAGAGAGGAUCCCUCUAGUUCCUCUAGUUCUAGUUCUAGUUAGUUCUAGUUGUAAUCUAGAAAAUAGGGAGAGAGAAGAGGAGAGCGGAGGAGGAGCCGGAUGAUCUUCCUCAACAUUAUACUUUUGCAGCAACUGGUUCGUUCUUCAUCGUUCUCUAAGUUCUUCAAUUCUUAAUUCCUGAGUUCUUUAAUUACUUUUAUUUACAUUCAAGUUAUUUAUUGGAUUCCCGCUUGCAUCAGGUGCUCUAGUCUUUAUAACGCUAGAGUAGUAAUUAAUAGAUUAGACGUGGUGUUUAGUCUUGCAAUUACCUGAAAUUGCACCCAAUCCUGCGGAUUGUUGUGGUAGCCCUAGGGUAGUGACAGCCCUACCGGUCGACGUAUUCCACCUCGUUCGGCUUCGGUGUUUGUAGGACCAUAGUCAGAGCUUCCUAGCCCCCUUCUCAUCUCUUUCUGUGGUUAGUGUUCUAAUGUCCCGAAAUAAAUAAUCUUUGAAGUAAUUCUUGAUUCUUAGAUCAAUUAGAGAACUCUCAGGAAACUUCCUCUCUUCCCACCAAAAAUAAUUAUAUAGUUAUCCUUGGGCGAUCUUGAAUCUUAAUUAGUACACUCACGUUCCCUGUGGAAAAUCGAUGCUCUGGAAUACUCCCGGGUGAAAGCUACAUCGGUAUCUGUACGAUUGCGGAUUUUUCUGUUUGCGUUUAAAAUACCCAACAACCUUCUCUCUCAUCCUACUCUAAUAAGGCUUUGAUAUCUAGAGCUCAUAGGUGGAAGAUAAUGUAUACAUACUUACAAGACAUUUAUUCCAUAGUCAAACCAUGGAUCCAGAGAAACAAGUCAAUAAGUCAAAUCAAGAUGUGCAUGUGUGGCGAAUGAAUGGUGUAUGGUGAUGAUGGUGAUAACAAUGGUGAAAGUCGAAUUCAACUUUUCCUCUUUUGAGGGGAUACAUACCUUCCUUGCACUUUGAAGCUUUUUGAGGAGAAUGAGAUGCUCUAUAUAUAUAUAUAUAUAUAUAUAUAUAUAUAUAUAUAUAUAUAUAUAUAUAUANNNNNNNNNNNNNNNNNNNNNNNNNNNNNNNNNNNNNNNNNNNNNNNNNNNNNNNNNNNNNNNNNNNNNNNNNNNNNNNNNNNNNNNNNNNNNNNNNNNNAUAUAUAUUUUUCUCUUUAUAGAGGGGACACACACUCUCUACACAUUGAUAUUUUUUUAGAAGAAUAUGAGUCUCUAUAUAUAUAUAUAUAUAUAUAUAUAUAUAUAUAUAUAUAUAUAUAUAUAUAUAUAUAUAUAUAUAUAUAUAUAUAUAUAUAUAUAUAUAUUCUCUCAUGUGGGUAUCUUGUACCCCCUAAUUCUAAUGUCGGACACUUGUCCAUUUUUACCUCUCGUCUCACUUUUUCUUUUCUUCGAGGUUCCGGGCACUUGCCCCUUUUUAUUUCCUCGUAUUCUUUUUUUAGAGCACUCAUCUCCCUAGAAUAAUAUAGCAAGUGGUUGUAACCAAGAUAACUUGAGUAUUUAUUUCAUAGGGAAUAACAGGGAUAGGAGAAUGUUUUUGGUUAUUCUCUCCCAGAUAGGAGUAGAAUAAUUUUAGGUGGAUCUAGAGAUGGAAAUGAGUGGAUGUAUAUGGAUGUGUACUUCUGGAGUAGAAGCAGCAUAUAUGAGUGAACGUGCAAGUGGAUCUUGAUUUUAACCGCAUGAUAAGCUCCUACGGGUCUCCACAGCUUGACCACACUCAAUGCUCAUAAGCAGUAAAAAGUAAACGUAUGGUUUAUAGUGUAGCAAGCAUGUAUGUAUGGUUGUGGUAAAAAUUUAAACUCUCAUCAUACAGGAACUCAUCAUGUGAUAUUCUAAAGAUUUUCAAAGAUAAAAUUCUCCAGAAUUCUAGCAUCUCUAGGAACAGAUAAAGAGCAGCUCAACCUUCCCAUAUCAUAUCCGUUAACAACUUAGACUUUAGAUCAAGUUCUCUUCCCACAAGUUCAGGUUUAGAGCAAGCUUUAAAUUGUAACAGUUAUGUCUAAACUUGAGAGCGAGCUUCAAAUUUGAAAAUUAGGCAGAGCAACUAUUCAUCAUAUCCAUGCUAGAGUUUACUAUUAAGAUUUAGUUUAGCAUAGCCACUUUAUUUAUUUAUUUUAGCAAACUAAGCAAAGAUAUAUAUAUAUAUAUAUAUAAGCACAAAAUCUUCAUUUGAGUUUUCAUGAUUAUGUAUCUUUUUAUUUUAAUAUAGUAUAAGUAUAAAUAUAGAUAGAAAUACUUAGCGGGAUAAAUGGGGGUGCUCUCCCCCAAGCUAGAUCUUGACGUAAUUUCUUCUGAUGUAGCUAGCAGGUGGCAGAGGUGUAUUUGAAUGUCGGCAGCACCCUGACAGCGAUUAGGAUGCCCUCCGUCUGCUAGUCUUCUUUGAAUUCUGUGGAGCUCAAAUAGACAACAAAGCUUUGUGGAACUGACUAAGUUAGCAUAAAUACCUAGCCUUUAUUAUGUUGAGCUUCCUCAAUAAGUGUUACUCUCUAUUUUUAUAUUUUCAUUUUAUAGAGCAGGAAAAAUUAAUUUUUUUUGUGCCACCACAGUGAAUGUACUUAUUUAUUUUAUGCCAUGAGCAUACUCACAUGGGGCUCUCUGUUUUUAACAUUUUUAUUUUCUUUUUAAGAUAGUAUGAACCUGAUUAACUAAACAAACUUUGUAAGAAAAAGUAAAUAACAGAAGAGAAAGUGAUAACUAUGAAGUUUACCUCUUGGCACGGCGUUCGGUGUUUUUAAGUCCUCUGAACGGGACUCCUUGUGUUCUCAGUUGUCCUGGGAUUCGCUGGAUGACGUAGACGGUGGAUCCGGCGGCGCCUCCUUUUCGUGUAGAACUAUCUUUUAUCUCCACACCUGACUUGGUGCUACGGUCUCUUGUUCAAGCUGUAUGUCCUCAGACCUUACUACCUCUCCUUCGUAGUCUGUUCAUCUGUCCUUGAUGUUUUGCCUCCUCUGAUUGCGGUUGCGUCGCCUUCUUCUUGUCCUGACCAGCUUAGAAUCUUCAACUAUAUAGUUAGGGUCAUUAAAGUAGCGGCGUACCUUCUCAGAGGGGAAGUGCAUGUGGACUUCUCCGGUUCCAAUGUAGAUGAUCGCUUUGACGGUGCUGAGGAAGAGUCUUCCAAGGAUGAUGGGUGGAUCGUACUCGUCUUCUCCCAUAUCAAUGACCUGAUCAAAAAUCUGUAUGGACAAAAUGGUCAUCUAUUUUAACAGGGACAUCAGUUACGAUACCUUCAACCUUUCAGAAUGUCUGAUUUGCCAUCUAGAGCUGAAUGUAUGUCGGUUUUAGGGGCAUGGUUCCGAACAGAAGGUGAUAGGUGACUAUGGCCAUUAUGUUGACGCCUGAUCCGGUGUCACAGAGUGUCUUCUGGAAAUAGUAUCCAUUGAUUGAGCACUAGAUGCUUGGCACACCUGGGUCGUCCUUUUUUAUCAGGAAGGAUGACUUGAGUUGAUGAUCUUGGCCUCUGUGAACUGCAGUGACCAUUUUGGCUGACUCGGUCCAUACUUGCUUCUUGCUCUUGUUCCUCCUGUUGGUCCUUUUCCUUGGUUCAUAUUGGGGUUGUUCUGGGAUUUGUGCAGUCUUGUUCUUGAAGAAAAACGUCUCCUUCCUCCCCUUGAAGUAGAAACUGUUCUUAGCAGCACUAGCGUAGAUGAUAGCUCCCGAGAUGUUCAGGAAUGGCCUCCCCAGGAUGAUGGGUGCCCUCUCAUUAGUACCGGUCUCUAUCACCACGAAGUCUACUGGGGCGUACAAGGUACCAACUCAGACACAGAUGUUCUUCAGUAUUCCUUUUGGAAAGCUCAGUGUCCGAUCUACAAGCUGCAAACACAUGGUUGUUUCUAAUAAAGGAUGUGUAAAGAAUUUUUCAUAGAGUACCCUGGGCAUAAUAUUGAUGGUGGAGCCAAAGUCGCAGAGUGCCUUUGGGAAGUCCACCAUGCCGAUGGAGAUCGGGAUGACGGGGCGUCCUGGAUCGCCUCUAUUGACUGGCAGAAGGUCAUUAUGUACUUCUCCUAUAGGGUUGCUCAAGUAGUUACCUGCAUCAAACAUGUCUACAAGAUUUGCAGAUUCUAAUCCUUUCGGUUGUGAUGGUAUACCGGGGUUAGUAGCAGGAACAACAACAGCUAUUUGAUUCAACUGAGAUUCAAUCAUUUUAUUAAAGCUAAUCUGGUUCUUGAUGGCAGUAGAAAAAUUAUCCAUUCUAUUAUUUAUAUUUUCUAGCAUUUUAUCAUUUGAUGCCAAUUUCUUAGACAGGUUAUCCAUUAGCUUUUCUUGAUUAGACACUAACUCUCUCAAAGGUGGAUAAUUAUUAGUAUUAUUAUUAUUUUAAGAAUUGUUACCUUGAUAAUUACCUGAGUAGUUACCUGAGUAGUUAGGUCUUUGUUGAUUCCAACCUUGAUUUUGUUCAGGACGGUUGUAGUAGUUGUUGUUGUUGUUUAUGUAGUCCACAUCCUCAAGCAUCUCAGGGCAGUGAUUGCCUGAGUGUCCAGUAUCUCCACUCUCCUCACAAGUCAUGUGAGAGUCGUAGACGUGCAUGACUUCUUUCUUGUCUCCAGCUUUAUCAUCGAGCUUCUUUAUGAGUAGGUCCAGCUUUGCAGACAGCAUGUCUACCUCCUUGAGCUGGUGCAUACCUCCACCUUUCUUGCGUGUCUGGGUCCUUUCUUCAUUCCAACCUUGGUUGGACGCCAUCUUCUCCACAAGAGCUGUGGCUUGUGGUAUGGUGAGUGAUAGGAAUGCUCCUCCAGCUGCACCAUCCAUGGUCUCACGGGCGCUAUUACCAAGCCCAUGAUAGAACGUCUGCAUCAGCAGCCAGGGGAGAUUCUAGGAUGUAGUCUUGGAAGCGCUCCCAUGCUUCUAGAACGGAUUCAUCAUGUUGUUGCUGAAAACUUGUAAUUUUCCCACGGAGGGCAUUGGUCUUGUCCAUGGGUGAGAAAGUUCAUGGAGCAAAGUGCCCACGUAGUAUUCUUCUCCUUUGUUGCGUAGAACCACUACUUCGCUCUCCCCAACAGUGAGAAUGGGAAGAGGCGAAGUAGUAUGGCGUCUCUGGGGACUUCUGAUAUAGUGAAUGUGCUGCAAAUCUCCAGGAAGUGUUGGAGAUGAGCACUAGCAUCUUCGUGUGCCUUCCCACAGAACUGGUUGGCUUGUACCAUGUUGAUGAGCCCAGGCUUGAGCUCAAAGUUGUGGUCGAUCUCUACAGCAGGUCCAGUGCGGAUGUUGUCCGUAGUGGGAGCUAAGAACUCGCGGAUCAACUUGUUCGCCAUGGCUUCGAACUCCGUCGACAAGUUCCAGAUGAAACUUCGACGGUCUUCUGGUUUGGAUGAAGCUUUACGCUGAAGAGUUGAUGAUCUAAGCUUGGCUCUGGUUUUUCUAAUUAACGCUUCGGGGUCGUCAACAAAAAUUUCUGGAAGAUGUCUUCUAUUAAUACAUCACCCUGCAUAAAAUAAUAAAAAUAGAAAAGUACAGGGGUAAAGCUGUAUGAGAGAAUUGAUGAUCUCAAUCAUAUUAGUGAUGCGAAUGAUGACUCAUAAUUCCAUAUUUAUUCCUUGUUAGUAAAUCAACCUUCCGCGACAACGACGCCAAAAAUGCUUGUUGGGCAUUCUUAACGUCAUUACCAAAAGUAGACUUACUUUUCUAUUUCUGAUAACGGCGCCAAAAAAUGCCAAACCUAUCCCUCAUGCCACAUAAGCCAAGUUGUCAUCCCCAGCAUGACAUGAGAGACACGGUAUUGAAAUAUGAAAUUGCUCUUCUGAAUAAAUAAUAAAUGAGAUCUGCAAGCGCACAGAUUAAUAUCGAUGUAGCAUUUUAACCGGAAAGUAUUUCAGGUAUCAUUAUUUAUAUUUUACCACUAAGAAGGGAUUACUAACAUCAGUGUUGAUUAUGGAAUGAAAUAUGGAACUGAGUAUCUAUCAUUGCAUGUGUAAUAGAGAGCAUUCAUCUAUCUCUUGCAUACAGGGAUAAAUGUCACAUAAAAUAUAGAUAAAGUAUGAAUGGUGACAAAGAUAACUAAUCUGCUCAGCAUAACUAGCCACAUAUAAUAAUGAUAAGCACCUCAACAGAUAUUCUAGCAAGUCAUUAGCAUGAGAUUAGGAUGAACUACAAGAAUAUUUCCUAAGUUAUUCUUAACUAUAAAGUCUAGCAUAUCUUAGUUAGUGCAAUUAUACUUGGCAAUCAUUGCGAGGAAGGACUACGGCCAUGCAUAGUGAUAUUAUCAAGGAAGAUGAGAAACAUAGCAAUCACUCACCUGUAACAAUGUUGCUCUGCCUGCUAUAUACACUGGAGGGGGACUAUAUAAGAAUCAAUGGAGCUGUCACCACCAUGAACUACCCCGCGAUCCUGCAUAUAGGGUACAAUCGCAGAUAAAUACGGUAUAGGCACCACGCCUACACAAUAUCUAUCCUUUACCCAUGAAUCUGAUGGAUAAACGCUAUACGAUCCUAAAUGUGUAUAUAAUUCCAAUCUAACUAAGCCAAGCAUAUAACUAUGAUAAACUAAGAACGAUAUAAUUGCAAAUAUAAACAAGUAGAGCAAAGUCAUAAUCAAUAUAUUGAAAUAGAACAAAGUUGUAUUCAUAAUAUUGAAGAACAAUGAUGAACAAAUGAAUAACAGUAGAGGAAUUACCAAGAAUCCUCUUGACAGAUUCGGAAACCAAUCGAAGAUUGACUCCUUCUAGUUCUAAUCCUAUGUAGCUAUGCUAAACUAGAGAUCUAGUUGAUGUGGUGGCUCUAGGGCUUGAUCAGAGACUCUCCUCCUGAUGAAUGAAUUAGGAUCUGAGGAAUGAGAAUGAGUCCUCUAGGGGCCAGGGGGGCUGCUUAUAUAGCCCCUCCAAAUGAAUAUGAGUCGUCGGAUCAAACCGACCUUAAUCGCACGGUGUUCCUUAAUCCUUUAGGUCGGUGGAGAAUUAUCCGCGAGACAGAGCCUAAUUGGCUAAGAGCCUUGGUCGGGCGCCCAAGGGGGGAGGGCGGGCGCCCAGCCCCCAGGACCGCUCAGCCUCCUGCUCAUUCUCGUGGCUUCUGGACUCUUGUAGGUGUUGGAUAAUUGUGGUGCACGUUAAUAUAUCUAUGUAAACCUGAUGUGUGGACCUUUCCUCCAUAUUCCCUCAUAACCCCCUGCAGAAAUAGACAAACACCAAAACUCAUGGAAUUCUGUUAGAUAAAACCCUAAGUCUGGGUGUUGGUCGCAUUUGGAUCCUUUUAUUUUUUUAUUUGAUGAUUAUAUUUGAUACUUAAGGACCGUCAACAGUGGUGUAUUGUUCUUAGUUGCUUUUGUUUGUUACUUGUAUGUUUUUCUAUGUGUGGUGCUUGCUACGAGUAGACGAGAACCGUUUGUUGGCACUGAAGACUAGAAGAUGAUGACCGAAAGUUGAUGGUGUGGGAACUAAGCAAGUGUUUAAGGCAAGUAUAGCAUUUGAAUUUUAUUUAUGUGACCAUUGUUGACGGUCCUUAAGUAUCAUAUAUAAUUAUCAAAUAAACAAAGAAAAGGAUCCAAAUGAAAUCAACAUCUAGACUUAGGGUUUUAUCUGACAGAAUUCCACGAGUUUUGGUGUUUGUCUAUUUCUACAGGGGGUUAUCAGGAAAUACGAAGAAAGGCCCGCACGUUGGGAUUACAUAGAGAUAUUAACGUAUCGCGCAAUUAUCUUACAUCUAGAAGACUCCAGAAGCCACGAGACCGAAGCGGAGACGAAACGGGGCCAGAGGCAGGGCGCCCACCCUGUUCCCCUGGGCGCCCACCCCCUCCUUGAGUCCAAUCAGGACCCUGCUUCGUGGGAGAUCUCCACCGACCUAAAGGAUGAAUCUAAACCAUACAAUCUAUGUCGGUUUGAUCCAACGGCCCAUAUUCACUCGAAGGGACUAUAAAACCAGACCCCCUGGAGGAGAGAGCCUCUCAACCCUUAUUCAUUAUUCCUCAAGGGAGAAGAAGCCUCUGAUCAAGAUUAGAGCCACCACAUCAAUUAGAUAUCUAGAUUAUCAUAGCUACAUAGGAUUAGAACUAGAAGGAGUCAAUCUUCGAUUGGUUUCUGGAUCUGUCAAGAGGAUUCUUGGUAAUUGUCUAAUUGUGCUUCUAAUUGUGCUUCUAAUUAUCUUUGUUCUUCAAUAUUAUGAAUAUGACUUUGUUCUACUUCAAUAUAUUGCUUAUGACUUUGCUCUACUUGCUUAUAUUCAAGAUUAUAUUGUUCUUAGUUUAUCAUAGUUAUGUACUUGGCUUAGUUAGAUUGGAUCUAUAUACAUGCUUAGGAUCGUAUAGCGUUUAUCCAUCGGAUCCAUGGGUAAAUGAUAGAUAUUGUGUAGGCGUGGUGCUUAUACCGUAUUUAUCUGCGAUUGUACCCAAUAUGCCAGAUCGUGGGGUAGUUCGUGAUAGUGACAGCUUCAUUGAUUCUUAUAUAGUCCCCCUCUCAUGUAUUGGGCUGGCAGAGCAAUAUUAUUACAGGGGAGUGAUUGCUAUGUUUCUUAUUUACCUUGCUAAUAUCACUAUGCAUGGGCGUAGUCUUGUCUCGCAAUGAUUGCUAAGUAUGCUUGCACUAACUAUGAUAAUGCUAGACUAUAUAGUUGAGAAUAACUUAGGAAAUAUUCUUGUAGUUCGUUCUAAUUCCAUGCUAAUGACUUUCUAGAGUAUCUAAUUGAGGUGCUUAUCAUAUUUAUUAUGUGGCUAGAUCAGAUUAAUUAUCCUUGUCACUAUUUAUUAUUUCAUAUAUCCUUUAUGUGACACUUAUCCCUGUAUGAAGAGUUAGAUAAAUGUUCUCAAUUACAUAUGCAAUGAUAGAUGCUCAAUCUCAUAUUCUAUUCUGUAAUCAAUAUUGAUGAUUGCUAAUCCCUUCCCAGUGGUAAAAAUAUAAAUAAUGAUACCUGGAAUACUUCCCGGUUAAAAUGCUACAUCGGUAUUAAUCUGUGCGCUUGCAGAUCCCAUUCGGUAUUAAGCUGGGGAUGACAACUUGGCUUAAGUGGUGUGAGGGAUAGGUUUGGGUUUUUUGGCACCGUUACUAGAUUUAGAGUACUUAGUCUACUUUUGGUAAUGAUGUUAAGAAUACCCAACAAGCAUUUUUGGCGCCGUUGCCGGGGAAGGUUGAUUAGUAAUCAAGAAUGGAAUAAAGGAUUUUGAGUUAUCAUUCGCAUCACUAAUUUGAUUGAGCUUAUCUAUUCUCUCAUACAGUUUUACCCCGAUAUUUUUCUAUUUUAUCUUAUACAGGAGAAUGUAUGAAUAGAAGACAUCUUCCAGGAAAUUUUGUUGACAAUCCCGAAGCGUUAUUCAGAAGAACUAGAGCCAAGCUCAAGAAGAGAUCAUCAACACUUCAGCAAGAAGCUUCAUCCAAUCAAGAAGAUUACCGGAACUUGUCUUUAGAGUUCGAAGCCAUGGCAAACAAAUCAAUCCGUGAGUUCUCAGCUCCCACUACGGACAACAUCCGCACUGGACCUGCUGCAGAGAUCGAUGGCAACUUUGAGCUCAAGCCUGGACUUAUCAACAUGGUGCAAUCCAACCAGUUCUGUGGGAAGGCACACGAAGAUGCUAGUGCUCAUCCACAACACUUCCUGGAUAUUUGCAACACGUUUACCUUAUCAGGAGUUUCCAAAGAUGCUAUACUACUUCGCCUCUUCCCAUUCUCACUGUUACGAAGAGCGAAGCAGUGGUUCUACGCUACAAAGGAGAAGAAUACUACGUGGGCACUCUGCUCAACAAACUUCCUGGCUAAGUUCUUUACCAUGGGCAAGACCAAUGCUCUCCGUGGGAAAAUUACAAGUUUUUAGCAACAAAAUGAUGAAUCUAUUCUAGAAGCAUGGGAGCGCUUUCAAGACUACAUCCUAGAAUGUCCCCAUCAUGGAAUAGAGAGUUGGCUAUUGAUGCAGACGUUUUAUCAUGGGCUCGGCAACAGUGCCCGAGAGACCAUGGAUGCUGUAGCUGGAUGAGCAUUCUUAUCACUUACCAUACCACAAGCCACAACUCUUGUGGAGAAGAUGGCGUCCAACCAAGGCUGGAAUGAAGAGAGGACGCAGACACGCAAGAGAGGUGGAGGUAUGCAUCAGCUCAAGGAGGUAGACAUGCUGUCUGCAAAGCUAGACCUGCUCAUGAAGAAGCUCGAUGAUAGAGCUGGAGAUAAGAAAGAAGUUAUGCACAUCUACGACUCUCACAUGACUUGUGAGGAGUGUGGAGACACUGGACAUUCAGGCAAUCACUGCCCUGAGAUGCUUGAGGAUGUGAACUACAUCAACAACAACAACAACUACUACUACUACAACCGUCCUCAACAAAAUCAAGGUUGGAAUUAACAGAGGCCUAACUACUCAGGUAAUUAUCAAGGUAAUAAUUCUUACAACAAUACUAAUAAUUUUCCACCUUUGAGAGAGUUAGUGUCUAAUCAAGGAAAGCUAAUGGAUAACCUAUCUAAGAAAUUGGCAUCUAAUGAUAAAAUGCUAGAAAAUAUAAAUAAUAGAAUGGAUAAUUUCUCUACUGCCAUCAAGAAUCAAAUUAGCUUUAAUAAAUUGAUUGAAUCUCAGUUAAAUCAAAUAGCUGCUGUUGUUCCGGCUACUAACCCCGGUAUACCAUCACAACCGGAAGGAUUAGAAUCUGCAAAUCUUGUAGACAUGUUUGAUGCAGGUAAUAAUUGGAGUAACCUCGUCACUGAAUUCAAUACUGUCCUUCUGCCGGUCAAGAGAGGUGAUCCAGGACGCCCCGUCAUCCCGAUCUCCAUCGGCAUGGUGGACAUCCCAGAAGCACUCUGUGACUUUGGCUCUAGCGUCAACAUUAUACCCAGGGUACUCUAUGAAAAAUUCUUUACAUAUCCUUUAUUAGAAACAACGAUGUGUUUGCAGUUUGCAGAUCAGACGAUAAGUUUUCCAAAAGGAAUAUUGAGGAAUCUUUGUGUCCGAGUUGGUACCUUAUAUGCCCCAGCAGACUUCGUAGUAGUAGAGACCGGAAAUGAUGAGAGGGCACCCAUCAUCUUAGGGAGGCCAUUCUUGAACACCAGGGGAGCUAUCAUCUACGCUAGUGCUGCCAAGAUCAGUUUCUACAUCAAAGGGAGGAAGGAGACAUUUUUCUUCAGGAACAAGACUACACAAAUCCCAGAUCAAUCCAGACGUGAAUCAAGUAAGAGGACCAACAGGAGGAACAGGAACAAGCAAGUAUGGACCGAGUCAGCUAAGAUGGUCACUGUAGUUCAUGGAGGCCAAGAUCACCAAAUGCCAAGCAUCUACUGCUCCAUAAAUGGAUACAACUUUUACAAGACAUUUUGCGACACCGGAUCGGGAGUCAACAUAAUGGCCGCAGUCACCUAUCGGUUCUUGUUCAGAACCAUGCCCCUAAAACCAACAUACAUUCAGCUCCAGAUGGCAGAUCAGACAUUUCGAGAAGUUAAAGGAACAGUAACUGAUGUCCCAGUCAAAAUAGACGAUCAUUUUGUCUACACAGACUUUCAAGUUAUUGACAUGGGAGAAGAUGAGUAUGAUCCACCCAUCAUCCUUGGAAGACCGUUCCUCAGCACCGUUAAAGCUAUCAUCUACAUUGGAACCGGAGAAGUCCAUAUGCACUUCCCCUCAGAGAAGGUACACCAUUAUUUUACUGACCCUAUCUAUAUCGUUGAAGAAUCUAAGCAGGUGAGGAAACGAUGCAACCGCAACCAGAGGAGGCAAAUCAUCAAGGGGCGGAUGGGCAGACUAUGAAGGAGAAGUUGUAAGGUCAGAAGACUUAGAGUUUAAAGAGAAUUAUCCAGAGGAGACUGAAGCACCGAGUCAGGUAUGGAAAGAGAAGAUAAUUAUACAUGAAGAGGAGGCGCUGCCGGAAGUACCGACUCCGCCACCCAACGAAUUCCAGGACAAUUGAAGAAAACGGAGAGUCCCGUUCGGAGGACUUAAAAACACCGAACGCCUUGCCAAGAGAUAAACUUGGUAGUUAUCCUUUCCCUUUCAAUUAUUUAAAAUAGUUUGCUUAGUUACUUAUGUUCAUGCUAUCCUAAAAAGAAAAUAAAAUGUGAAAAACAGUAAGCCCCAUGUGAGUAGACGAGUGGCAUAAAACCCAUAAGUACAUUCUCUGUGGUGGCAUAAAAAUAAAAUAAAUAUUUCAUUUCUGCUUUAUAAAAUGAAAAUAUAAAAAUAGGGAGUAAUAAUUAUUAAGGAGUCUCAACAUGAUAAAGGCUAGAUAUUUAUGCUAACACUUAAUCAGUUCCACAAGCUUUGUUGUCUAUUUGAGCUCCACGGACUUUAAGAAUCAAGAAGACUAGUAGACGGAGGACAUUCUAAUCGCUGUCAGAAUACUGCUGACUUCCAAAUACACCUCUGCCACCUGCUAGCUACAUCAAGAGAAAUUACGUCAAAAUUCAGCUUGGGGGAGAGCACCCCCAUUUAUCCCGAUAAGUAUUUCUAUCUAUCUAUCUUUAUACUUAUACUAUAUUAAAAUAUAAAUAUACAUAAACCAAGAAAAACCAAAUAAAGAUUUUGUGCUUAUAUAUAUAUCUUUUGCUUAGUAUGAUUAAUAAAUAAAUAAAGUGGCUAUGCUAAUCUGUAUCUAAAUAAAACUCAAGCAUGGAUAUGAUGAAUAGUUGCUCUGCCUAAUUUGCAAAUUUUAAGUUCUCUCUCAAGUUUAGACAUAAUUGUUAUAAUUUAAAGCUUGCUCUAGACCUAAACUUGUGGGAUGAAAACUUGAUCUAAAGUCUAAGUUGUUAACGGAUAUGAUAUGGGAAGGUUGAGCUGUUGUUUAUCUGUUCCUAGAGAUGCUAGAAUUCUGGAGAAUUUUAUCUUUGAAAAUCUUUAAAAUGUUGCAUGAUGUGUUCCUGUAUGAUGAGAGUUUUAAAUUUAUACCACAGCCAUAUAUACAUGAUUGCUAGACUUUGAGCCAUACAAUUACUAUUUACUGCUUAUGAGCAUUGAGUGUGGUCAUGCUGUGUAGACCCUUAGGAGCUUGUCAUGUGGUUAAAUCAAGGUGAAUUUCACUUGCACGUUCACUCAUAUAUGCUACUUCUACUCCGGAAGUAUCAUCCACAUAUAUCCACCCAUUUCCAUCUCCAGAACCACCCAAAAAUAUUCUACUCCUAACCCGGGAGAGAAUAGCCAAAAAUAUUUCUGUUUUUCCUUUGUGAAAUAAAUGCUCAAGUUAUCUUGUUACUACCACUUGCUAUAUUAUCUCAAGAGAUGAGUGCUCUAAAAAAAGAGAGAAAAAAAGAUACGAGGAAAUAAAAAGGAGCAAGUGCUCGGAAUCUCGAAAGAAACGAAAAAAGUGAGACGAGAGGUAAAAAUGGUCAAGUGUCCGACAGUAGAAUUAGGGGUACAAGAUACCCACCUGAGAGAAAAGAAAAAGAAGAGCAUCUCAUCUCCUCACUAUUCAAAAAGCAUGGAAGGUACGUAUCCCCUCAAAAGAGCAAAAGUAGAAUUAGACUUUCACCAUUGUUAUCACCAUCAUCACCAUACACCAUUCAAUCGCCACACAUGCACAUCUUGAUUAAACUUAUUGACUUGUUUCUUUGGAUCCAUGGUUUGACUAUGCAAUACAUGUCUUGUGAGUAUGUAUAUUUUAUCUCCCACCUAUGAGCUCCAGAUAUUAAAGUCUUAUUAGAGUAGGGUGAGAGAGAAGGCAAUGUCACUAUGCUUCAUACCACAAAUACCACAUAUCUUGAGAGAAGGCGUAUACCAUCACUGCCUUGGUAAGGAUCCAGAAAUACCACAAAAAAAAGAUCUGAGAGAAUCAUACAAGGAAUCUCUGAGUUUUAUUUGAAAAUCUGCAAAAACUCCAGAACUAUAGCUGAUCAAGAAUGAGAGACCUGGCACUUGGCUAGACUGUUCUAUCUUUUAACUACUCAAGACAGAAGUGACGGUUACAAGUCUCAUGGUGAAGGUAAAGUAAGUAAGUUUUAAGUCUUGACAGUUUACUCUAACUCAGAGAUGAGAUCUUAUUUUAAAAGCAUGUGUACCGUCAAUUUUUAAAGAUAAUGCAACAACUUCUAAUCCAUUGUUGAGUCUAUCCUUGCUCAGGGACGAGCAAGAGGUAAGCUUGGGGGAGUUUGUUGACGGUCCUUAAGUAUCAAAUUUAAUUAUCAAAUAAACAAAGAAAAGGAUCCAAAUGAAAUCAACAUCUAGACUUAGGGUUUUAUCUGACAGAAUUCCACGAGUUUUGGUGUUUGUCUAUUUCUACAGGGGGUUAUCAGGAAAUACGGAAGAAAGGCCCACACGUCGGGAUUACAUAGAGAUAUUAACGUAUCGCGCAAUUAUCUAACAUCUAGAAGACUCCAGAAGCCACGAGACCGAAGCGGAGACGAAAUGGGGCCAGAGGCAGGGCGCCCGCCCUGUUCCCCUGGGCGCCCGCCCCCUCCCUGAGUCCAAUCAGGACUCUGCUUCGUGGGAGAUCUCCACCCACCUAAAGGAUGAAUCUAAACCAUACAAUCUAUGUCGGUUUGAUCCAACGGCCCAUAUUCACUUGAAGGGAGUAUAAAACCAGACCCCCUGGCCCCUGGAGGAGAGAGCCUCUCAACCCUAAUUCAUUAUUCCUCAAGGGAGAAGAAGCCUCUGAUCAAGAUUAGAGCCACCACAUCAAUUAGAUAUCUAGAUUAGCAUAGCUACAUAGGAUUAGAACUAGAAGGAGUCAAUCUUCGAUUGGUUUCCGGAUCUGUCAAGAGGAUUCUUGGUAAUUAUCUAAUUGUGCUUCUAAUUAUCUUUGUUCUUCAAUAUUAUGAAUAUGACUUUGUUCUACUUCAAUAUAUUGCUUAUGACUUUGCUCUACUUGCUUAUAUUCAAGAUUAUCUUGUUCUUAGUUUAUCAUAGUUAUGUACUUGGCUUAGUUAGAUUGGAUCUAUAUACAUGCUUAGGAUCGUAUAGCGUUUAUCCAUCGGAUCCAUGGGUAAAUGAUAGAUAUUGUGUAGGCGUGGUGCUUAUACCAUAUUUAUCUGCGAUUGUACCCAAUAUGCCAGAUCGUGGGGUAGUUCGUGAUAGUGACAGCUUCAUUGAUUCUUAUAUAGUCCCCCUCUCGUGUAUUGGGCUGGCAGAGCAAUAUUAUUACAGGGGAGUGAUUGCUAUGUUUCUCAUUUACCUUGCUAAUAUCACUAUGCAUGGGCGUAGUCUUGUCUCACAAUGAUUGCUAAGUAUGCUUGCACUAACUAUGAUAAUGCUAGACUAUAUAGUUGAGAAUAACUUAGGAAAUAUUCUUGUAGUUCGUUCUAAUUCUAUGCUAAUGACUUUCUAGAGUAUCUAAUUGAGGUGCUUAUCAUAUUUAUUAUGUGGCUAGAUCAGAUUAAUUAUCCUUGUCACUAUUUAUUAUUUCAUAUAUCCUUUAUGUGACACUUAUCCCUGUAUGAAGAGUUAGAUAAAUGUUCUCAAUUACAUAUGCAAUGAUAGAUGCUCAAUCUCAUAUUCUAUUCCGUAAUCAAUAUUGAUGAUUGCUAAUCCCUUCCCAGUGGUAAAAAUAUAAAUAACGAUACCUGGAAUACUUCCCGGUUAAAAUGCUACAUCGGUAUUAAUCUGUGCGCUUGCAGAUCCCAUUCAUUAUUUAUUUAGAAGAGCAAUUGCAUAUUUCAAUACCGCGUCCCUCAUGUCAUGCUGGGGAUGACAACUUGGCUUAAGUGGUGUGAGGGAUAGGUUUGGCAUUUUUGGCACCGUUACUAGAUUUAGAGAACUUAGUCUACUUUUGGUAAUGAUGUUAAGAAUACCCAACAACCAUGAUCCUGUGGCUAGAUUAAUGUUAAGUAAUGAACGAUAAAAAUGACUUUUUAGCAACUUGAUUAUUUAUCUAUACGUGAUCACCCGGGAUAACAGUGCAACCAUGAGGGUUAUAAUGGCUCUGACUUUAGCUCAGUAUGAGGACCUUUUUCUAGCUUGUUAGCGGUUACCUUAAAUGGCGUAAGAAUGGCUAGACACGUUGGGUAUAGUGCAGCCUCUGUCCGUGUGUAUAGGCUGCGGGUUAUGUGCCAUGGAAGGGGGGCUCUAUAUCUGCCUGCCGAGUGAAUCUAAUGGCCCUAACUUGUUAGACGAAACCUUUGAAAGGCUUCAUAGUGAUCCCUGCCGAUCUCCCUAGGAAGGGGGUUUAGAGACUCAUGACCUCGGGCGAAGGGGUAAAUCACGACUCAUGGGUAAAGAUGUACAACCUCUGCAGAGUGUUAAAACUGGUAUACUAGCUGAGCUCAUGGUCAGGAGCGGCCUUGGGGACAUCUACAUUAAGGGUGAUGAUUCUUGUUGUGUUAAUAUACUCAUUGUUUAUUGUUUAAUGCUCUACAUUAUUUUAUGUCACAUUGAUCAUGAGAUUGUAGGAUCUAUACAAUCUAGUUGCUAUACUUGUGGAGUUCGACAUGGACUCACUCUUGCUAUUUCCCCCAUACUUUAGGAGAUGUCUUAGGCUUGUGAUCAAUCAGUCAUUUGGAUCCUGUAGAGUGAAGUUAAUACCCGAAGUUGGAGUUAUCUUUCGCUGUUUGCUGCCUAAGGUUAUCUCUGAUUUAUUAAGUACGUUAUAUAAUUUAUGCAUUGUCUUUUGAUAUUACCCCUUAUUUGUAGCUAUAUGUGAGAGUUGGAUAUGGUGUAUAUCUGGUUUUGUCUUUAAAAUCGGGUAUUACAAAUAUUUUUUUGAGUGGAUGUGGAGAUGGAAAUGAGUGGAUAUGCAAGUGAAUCUUGAUUCAAACAGCAUGAUUAGCUUCUGAGGGUCUGCAUAGCUUGAUCACACUCAAUGCUUAUAAAUAGUAAAAUGUAAAUGUGUGGUUUCUUAAUCUAGUAAACAUGUAUGCAGGGCUGUGGUAGGAUUUUAAACUCUCAUCAUACAACAACUCAUCAUGCAGCAUUUUUAAAGUUUUUCAAAGAAUAAAUUCUCCAGAAUUCUAGUAUCUCUAGGAAGAGAUAAACAACAACUCAAACCUUUCCAUAUCAUAUUGGUCAACAACUUAGACAUUAGAAUAGGUACACUUCCCACAAGUUCAGGUUUAGAGUAAAUUUCAAAUCAUAAAAGUUAUGCCUAAACUUGAGACAGAGUUCGAAUUUGAAAACUAGGUACUUGAAAAAAAUUAUAGUAGAGCAACUAUUCAUCAUAUCUAUGUUAAGAGUUUAUCAUUGAGGUUCAUUUCAACAAAGCUACUUUUUAUUCUCUCCUAAUAGCAAACUUCCAAAACUAAGCAAAGAUAUAUAUAAGUAGGAAAAUAUUUAUUGGGUUUCUAAGAUUAUGCAACUUUUCAUUUUAGCAGAGUAUAGGUAUAAAGACCGAUACAAAUACUUAGCUGAGUACAUGGGGUGCUCUCCCCCAAACUAGAUUUUGACGUAAUGUCUUCUGAUGUAACUGGUAGGUAGCAGAGGUGUACUCGUCUGUUGGAGUGACUCUCGAGACAGCACUCGGACAGCGGGUAGGAUGUCCUCUGAUUGCUGUUCUCCUUUGAUCCUUGAAUUCCAUGGAGCUCAAAUAGACAACAAAGCUUGUGGAACUGAUUAAGUGUUAGUCAUAAAUUCUAGCCUUGAUCAUGUCGAGCUUCCUUUAAUGAGUGUUAUCUUUCUAGUAGGAUCAUAAACUCAAUAUUUUUGUAUUUUUAUUUUAUAAAACAAAAACAUAUUUAUUUUAUUUUUAUGCCAGCACAACGAAUAUACUUAUGGGUUGAAGGCCACAAGCGUAUACACAUGGGCCUUAGCAUUUUUAAACAAUUUUUUAUUUUCUCUUUAAGAUAGUGUAAACAAGAUUAUACUAUUUAAGGAAAGUAAAUAAUUAAGAGGAAAGGGAUAACUACCAAGUGUUACCUCUUGGCACGGUGUUCGGUGGUUUAAAUCCUCCGAACGGGACUCCUUAUGUCAUUAGUUUCCUAGGGCUCAUCGGAUGGCAUAGCUGGCACCUCCGGUGGUGCCUCCGUUUCUGCUAUGAUCUCUUUCUCCUCCCAUACUUGUGUUGUGGGAUAUUUAUAUUUGUAUUUUGAGUUCUUGACACUUCUCCUUCAUAGUCAGCCCAUCCAUCCUUGGUGUUCUGUUUCUUCUGGUUGUGGUAGCAACGUCUUCUUCUUGUUCUGUUCUGCUUAGAUCCAUCAACAAUAUAGUUAUCAUUAAAGUGACGAGGUACCUUCUCAAAGGGGAAGUGUAGAUGCACUUCUCCUAUCCCGAUGUAGAUGAUAGCUUUAGUAAUACUUAGGAAUGGUCUUCCAAGGAUGAUAGGUGGAUCAUAAUCAUCUUCUUCCAUGUCAAUGACUAAGAAGUCUAUCGGGAUGAAGUGGUCAUCGAUCUGGACGGGGACUUCUUUUGCUAUAGCUUCGACAAUUCGGUAUGUCUGAUCUCCCAUCUGGAGUUGGGUGUAUGUUGGAUAUAGAGGCAUUGUUCUAUACAUAAACUCAUAGGUCAAUUUGGCCAUAAGGUUGACGCCUGAUCCGGUGUCACAGACUGCCUUCUGAAAGGAGCAUCUGUUGAUUGUACAUUCAAUUGUUGGGACACCAGGGUCAUCCUUCUUGAUCAAAUGAGGGGAUUUGAGUUGGUGAUCUUGACCAUUGUGAAUUGCAGUGACCAUUUUGGCUGAUUCUGUCCGUACUUGCUUCUUAUUCUUGUUUUGCUUGUUCCUCCUAUUGGUCCUCUUUCUUGGCUCGUAUUGAGGUUGUCCUAGAAACUGUGAGGUUUUAUUCUUGAAAUAAAAUGUCUCCUUCUUCCUCUUGAUGAUGAAACUGAUCUUGGCGGCGCUAGCGUAGAUGACAGCUCUAGCAGUAUUUAGAAAUGGUCUCCCCAAGAUGAUGGGUGACCUCUCAUCUACACCAGUCUCUAUUACUACGAAGUCUGCUAGGACAUAUAAGGUACCAAUUCAGACACACAUAUUCUUUAGGAUUCCUCGUGGGUAGCACAGUGUCCGAUCUACAAGCUGCAAACACAUAGUUGUAUCUGAUAAAGGAUAAGUAAAGAUUUUUUUCGUAGAUUAUUCUGGGCAUGAUGUUGAUGCUUGCGCUAAAGUCGCAAAGUGCUUCAGGGAAGUCCGUGCUGCCAACAGAGAUUGGGACGACUGGGCGUCCGAGAUCUCCUUCUUGAUUGGCAGAGAUUCAUCAUACCACCCUUCUGCGCGGUUGCUCCAAUAGGCACAUGCAUCAAAUAUGUCUACAAGAUUUGUAGAUUCUAAACCUUUCAGUUGUGAUAGUAUACCGAGGUUAGUGGUAGGAACAACAACAACUAUUUAAUUUAUCUGUGAUUCUAUCAUUUUAUUAAAGCUAAUCGGGUUCUUAAUGGUAGUUGAAAAAUUAUCCAUCCUUUUUGUUUAUAGUUUCUAGAAUUUUAUCAUUGGAUGCUUAUUUCUUAGACAGGUUAUCCAUCAACUUACCUUGAUUAGACACUAACUCUCUCAAAGGUGGUAAAUUAGGAUUGUUGUAGGAAUUGUUACCUUGAUAAUUACCUGUAUAGUUACUUGAGUAGAUAGGCCUUUGUCGCUGGUUUCAACCUUGAUUUUGCUGAGAACGGUAGUAGUUGUUGUUGUUGUUGUUGUUGAUGUAGUUCACAUCCUCAUGCACCUUAGGGCAGCGGUUGCCUGAGUGUCCAGUUUCUCCACACUCUUCACAGGUCAUGUGAGAGUAAUAUAUGUGCUUGACUUCCUUCUUAUCUUCAGCUUCAUCGAGUCUCUUCAUUAGCAUGCUUAUAUACGCAGACAACAUGCCUACCUCCUUGAGCUGGUGCAUACCUCCACUCUUCUUGCGAGUUUGAAUUCUUCCUUCAUUCAAACCUUGAUUGGAUGCCAUCUUUUCCACAAGAGCCGUGGCUUGUGGUAUUGUAAGUGAUAGGAACGCUCCUCCAGCAGUAGCAUUCACGAGUGUUGUUGCUGAGCCCAUGAUAAAAGGUCUGCAUAAAUAGUCAAUUUUCCAUUCCAUGAUGGGGACAUUCUAGGAUGUAGUCUUGAAAGCACUCACAUGCUUCUAGACCAGACUCAUCAUGUUGUUGCUGAAAGCUUGAAAUUUUCCCACACAGAGCAUUGGCCUUGCCCAUGGGAAAGAAACUUGCUAGAAAAUUGGUGGAACAGAGUGCCCACGUAGUAUUCUUCUCCUUAGUUGCGUAGAACCACUGCUUCGCUCUUCCCAAGAGUGAGGAUGGGAAAAGGCGAAGUAGUAUGGCGUCCUUGAGAAUGUAAUUGAUAGUAAAUGUGCUACAAAUCUCGAGGAAGUGUUGGAGAUGAGCACUAGCGUCUUCAUGCGGCUUCCCACAAAACUGGCUUGCUUGCACCAUGUUAAUGAGCGCAGGCUUUAGCUCAAAUGACCGCUCAAUGUCAGCAGCAGGUCCAGUACGGAUAUUGUCUAUAGUGGGAGCUGAGAACUCAUGGAUUGACUUUUUCGCCAUGGCUUCGAACUUUGAUGUCAAGUCUCGAACAAUAUUUGGAUGAUCUUCCUGAUCGGAUUGAGCUUUGAGCUUAGAUGUUGAUGAUGAUGGUUCCGUUACUCUCCUAAGCUUGGCUCUUGUCCUUGUGAUUAAUGCUUCGGGAUUUUCAACAUAGUUUUCUAGGAGAUCAAACUUAUUCAUACAUCACCCUGCAUAAAAUGAUAAAAAAUAGCAAAGUAGACAUGAGUAAAACUGUCUGAAUAGAGAAUUGAUGUUUUGCUUAAUCACAUUAGUUUAAUCAACCUUCCCUGGCAAACGGCGCCAAAAAUGCUUGUUUAUAUUUCUAAUGUCGUUACCAAAAGUAGAUUAACUAAUCUUGAUAACGGCACCAAAAAAUGGUAACCACCUCUCAUGCCACUUAAGCCAAGUUGUCAUCCCCAGCAUGGCAGGGAGAUGCGGUAUUGUCACACCCAUAUUUUAAGAACAAAGUAGGAUGCAUAAAAGACUCAUAUGUGCCCCAGGAACAGUCGCACACAUAAGUAGACAAAUCUCAAAUGUACCAUUGCAGUGUUUAUUACAUAGCGAAACGAUAAUAAAUCACAUAGUCUUAUACAAUAAUGAUAAUAGUAAUAAACAACGCUCUCGACAGAAGCACCACACAGGGACACUGUUGACUGGUUGACUCUGAGCCUAGUACUCAUAACGGUAGUCCUCACUCCAAACUUCAUCAUUUGCAUAACCUAGGGUGUUGGGAAAUUACAAAGUGAGCACAUAUCAUACUCAACAAGUAUAACCAGGGGUUCAUAAGACUCAAAUAGCUGACACUGGUUUAACUGCAUUUAGCAUUUAUAUGUAGAUAGCAUGUUCAUAUUUAGAAAAGCCAUAACUUUUAAAAUACUGGACCAAAUGAUCCCAAAUUUAUACCACAGCUAGUUUAUAAAUUUUACAACAACUUUGAUUUAGACAAGUCUUCCAAAAAACCAAGUUAUCCUCCAGCAAAGGUUGGAUUAUCCCCUUGCUGUCCAGAACAGCUUAAGAACCCUUAAUUAAUUAUUUGAUGACAUAACCAAAGCAUAUUUAGUGCCAACCAGAUGGCUUACAAGCACAAGCAUGGCUUAAGAUUACCAGAACAUCACAUGUUGACCACUAAACAUUUAAUAACAAGUCAUUUAUUAAUUUAAUUCCAUAAAAGGACAUAAUUACAAGAUACUAGCAAAAGUACUUAGAAAAAUCUACAAAAAUUUUAGAAGCACAAGCAUAGCAUCUUGACAUUACUAUAAAAUUUUCAGAACAAUUGCACAUGCCAAACUUACUAUAAACAUUUAACAUGUGACAAGGUACUUAUUUCAUAAAUUAAGAAACACGGCUUAGAUAGUGUCAAACAACAGAUUUCAGAUUAUUUACAUGUUACAGUUACUAUAAACAAGCUUGACACCAAAGUAUAAUACCAGCACAAGCAUAAAACAUUUAUUAUGAUUUAAAUAUGAAAACAAGCCAUAGGAUCAACAUAAUUUACAUAUCAGAGAUACAUUACUCCAAAAAUCAUGAAAUAUUUACCAUAGCAUUCUCAUACCACUCAGAGCAUAGCAUAAAAAUUUCAUAACAAAAGGAGCAGUAUAUCAACAGAUAUGAAUUUAUACUUAAAUAACAAGAUUAAAUCAUAUCAAUUAUUUUUCCCAGAAAACAUGGUGUAUAUUAUAUUUUUAUUAAAAACUAGCCAUCUCAUUUAAUAUCACAAAAUUUGGAUCUCAGAAACUGGAGAUAUGAUUUUUGCAAGAUUGCAAGAAAUCUGGAUUUAAAUAAAAGAGAGGAGGGGACCGUUGAGUCACUCACAGCGGGUCCGGCGCGUUAGCGACCCAAAGAACAGGGGACACCCUCGCCGGCGAAUGCUCGCCGACGGUGAGCUUCUCCGGCGGAUCCAAGGGCACCAACGUGCUCCUGGAGUGAUUCUGCAUCGAUGGAGGUAGGUGGUACUAGGGUUACAGCGACGAAGAGGGGUCGCCGUCGGCCAUGGCGGCACGACGGAGUUACCUCGGCUUACGCCGGCCAUCUCCGACCGGUAGAGCGUCGGGGAAGAGCGGCUUAAGCGCCAGUGAGACAGUGUGAAGCUUUCUAGGCAGAAACGCCUAACCCUAAUGGCUCCGGUGAGUCUGCUCACGUGCGGGGUGCUCGUCAGCGGUGAGCGCGGCGGUGCGGUUGCCGUGUUCUCGCACGACGGUGGCACCAAGGCCGGAAUGGCGUGGCACGGACCACAACCGAGACCUACGCAGACUCUAAUGUGACUCGAAAGGAUGAAGGAAGGCAAGGACAGAGCAGCGGCGAGGUUCGCCGGAAUCGGGGUCGCGACGACCAUGAACCCGACGACGACAAACUCGCGAAAUGCAGCUCACCUCGGGGAGAUCUCGUCCAACCAAGGGGUGGAGAAGAUGGAGGAGCUUGAGGCAGACUUGGAGACGCUCGGAGGCGAGGUGAGACGCGAAGACGCACGCGGGCGAAGCUCGCGGAGCUCUCGGCGACAAUAGCGAUGGCGUUUCCGCCAUCAGAGUCGCGCGCGAGAGAGGGAGGGAGAGAAUGGACGAGCGCUGGGUGAGUGCGGUGUGUCGUGGCGUCCAUGACGGCGUCGACGACCUGACGAGUGGGGCCAACGCCGGCGUACGGCCGACAAAUGGCAGCCAGGUGCUGCGGUGGUCGGCCACGACGGCGAGCUCGGCUCCGAUUCAGACAAACGAUGACCGACUGAAACCCGAACUUUGGCCUCGAUUAACUCCUAAACCGAUCUAUGAUUUUGCUGGUUAAUUGCUCCAUGCUGUAUUGCUACAUGAGGACUCCAACAUUGCUUACAAGAUCAAGACUUGAUUCGGCCUAGAUUUGAAACUGGGAGCUAAACAAAACACCCUCGAGCAAACUGGUAUGAUCCCAGACUUAGAAAAUUUUCUAAGUGUUGGAAAUAGCCCUAAAUCUGCCUUGUGGUCCACUUUUGAGCUAGAUGUGAUCAUUUUCAUAAGAUGGCCAUAAAACAACUUAUGUUCCUUAUAAAAUUUGCUACAACUUUGCUGUAGAAAGUUUUGACAUGAAAAUAUUUUAUAAAGCACUUUUUAAAAGCCUAAGUAAAAGAGGUUUCUAGGGCAUAUACAUGGAAGUAUGACCGUGUUUAAUUUGGAAAUGUGAUCAACUUGAACAUUGCUCCAAAAGUCAAGUUAAGCAUAGAGAAACUAAUUACUAAGGCAUAGCACACAAACAUAAGCAUGGCACAAGUAAUCACAAGCAUAGGAAUCAUAUUUUAAGCAAAUUAAAGCACAUUCUAGCAUAAAAUGACAUGCCCCAAGGAAGUGAUGAUCAUGAUAUGCUUAUGAAGAUGAUGAUGCUCAUGUUAUGCAUGUGAAUGAUGCAACCAUAACACUGGGGUGUUACAACUACGCCAUCCAGCGAAUCCAAGGACGACUAAGAAAACAGAGAGUCCCGUUCGGAGGACUUAAAAAACGUCGAACGCCUUGCCAAGAGGUAAACUUUCCUUUCAAUUAUUUAAAAUAGUUUGCUUAGUUAAUCAGGUUCAUAUCAUCUUGAAAAGAAAAAAUAAAAAUGUUAAAACCAAUAAGCCCCAUGUGAGUAUACAUGUGGCAUAAAUCCCAUAAGUACAUUCACUGUGGUGGCAUAAAAAAAUAUUAAUAAAAUAAAAAUAUUCUUCUGCUCUACAAAAAUAUAAAAAUAAAAUUGUGAUCCUACCAAAGAAAGUAGCAUUUAUUGAGGAGGCUCAACAAAAUAAAAGGCUAGAUAUUUAUGCUAACACCUAAUCAGUUCUACAAAGCUUUGUUGUCUAUUUGAGCUCCACAGAAUUCAAGGAUCAAGAGGACUAGCGGACGGAGGACAUUCUAAUCGCUGUCAGGGUGCUGCCAACAUUCAAAUACACCUCUGCCACCUGCUAGCUACAUCAAAAGAAAUUACGUCAAAAUUCAGCUUGGGGGAGAGCACCCCCAUUUAUCCCGCUAAUUAUUUCUAUCUACAUUUAUACUUAUACUAUAUUAAAAUAAAGAUUUUGUGCUUAUAUAUAUAUAUAUAUAUCUUUGCUUAGUUUGCUUAAUAAAUAAAUAAAGUGGCUAUGCUAAACUGAAUCUUAAAAAUAAAACUCUAGCAUGGAUAUGAUGAAUAGUUGCUCUGCCUAAUUCUUCAAAUUCGAGUUCUCUCUCAAGUUUAGACAUAACUGUUAUAAUUUAAAGCUUGCUCUAAACCUGAACUUGUGGGAAGAGAACUUGAUCUGAAGUCUAAGUUGUUAACGAAUAUGAUAUGGGAGGGUUGAGCUGCUAUUUAUCUAUUCCUAGAGAUGCUAGAAAUCUGGAGAAUUUUAUCUUUGAAAAUCUUUAAAAUAUCACAUGAUGAGUUCCUGUAUGAUGAGAGUUUAAAUUCCUACCACAGCCAUAUAUACAUGCUUAUUAGACUAUGAACCAUACCUGUACCUUUUACUGCUUAUGAGCAUUGAGUGUGGUCAAGCUGUGUAGACCCUUAGGAGCUUGUCAUGCGGUUAAAAUCAAGAUUCACUUGCACGUUCACUCACACAUGUUGCUUCUACUCCAGAAGUACGCAUCCACAUAUAUCCACUCAUUUCCAUCUCUAGAACCACCUAAAAGUAUUCUACUCCUAAUCCGGGAGAGAAUAGCCAAAAACAUUCUCCUAUUUCUGUUUUUCCCUCUGAAAUAAAUGCUCAAGUUAUCUUGGUUACUACCACUUGCUAUAUUAUUUCAGAAGAUGAGUGCUCUAAAAAAAGAGAGAAAGGAUACGAGGAAAUAAAAAGGGGCAAGUGCCCAGAACCUCGAAAGAAAAGAAAAAGUGAGACGAGAGGUAAAAAUGGACAAGUGUCCGACAGUAGAAUUAGGGUUACAAGAUACCCACCUGAGAGGAAAGAAAAAGAAAAUAUAGAGCAGCUCAUUCUCCUCAAAAGUUUCAAAGAGCAAGAAAGGUAUGUAUCCCCUCAAAAGAGCAAAAAGUAGAAUUAGACUUUCACCAUUGUUAUCACUAUCAUCACCAUACACCAUUCAUUCGCCACACAUGCACAUCUUGAUUUGACUUAUUGACUUGUUUCUCUGGAUCCAUGGUUUGACUAUGCAAUAAAUGUCUUGUAAGUAUGUAUAUUUUAUCUCCAACCUAUGAGCUCCAGAUAUCAAAACCUUAUUAAAGUAGGGUGAGAGAGAAGGCAAGGUCACUAUGCUUCAUACCACAAAUACUACAUACUUUGAGAGAAGGCAUCUACCAUCAUUGCCUUGGUAAUGAUCCAGAAAUACCACAAAAGAGAGAUUUGAGAGAGUCAUACAAGGAAUCUCUAAGUUUUAUUUGAAAAUCUGUAAAAACUCCAGAGCUAUAGCUGAUCAAGAAUAAGAGACACGGCACUUGACUAGACCGUUCUAUCUUUUAACUGCUCAAGACAGAAGUGACGGUUACAAGUCCCAUGGUGAAAGGUAAAAUGAGUAAGUUUUAAGUCUUGACAAUUUACUCUAACUUAGAGAUGAUACCUUAUUUGAAAGCAUGUGUACCGUCAACGUUCAAAGGCAUUACAGCAACUUCUGAUCCAUCACUGAGUCUAUCCUUGCUCAGGGACGAGCAAGAGGUAAGCUUGAGGGAGUUUGUUGAUGGUCCUUAAGUACCAAAUUUAAUCAUCAAAUAAACAGAGAAAAGGACCCAAAUGCAACCAACACCUAGACAUAAGGUUUUAUCUAACAGAAUUCCACAAGUUUUGGUGUUUGUCUAUUUCUGCAUGGGGGUUAUCUGGAAUUAUGGAAGAAAGGCCCACACGUCAGGUUUACAUAGAGAUAUUAACGUGCACCGCAAUUAUCCGACAUCUAGAAGAGUCCAGAAGCCACGGGAACGAGCGGGAGGCCGAGCGGGCCCAGGGACAGGGCGCCCGCCCUCCCCCUGGGGCGCCCGCCUAGGUGUCUCAGCCAAUCAGGCUCCACCUCGCGGAUUAUGCUCCACCGAUCUAAGGGUUUAAGGAAAACCAUGCGAUUAAGGUCGGUUUGAUCCGACGGCCCACGUUCAUUUAGAGGGGCUAUAUAAGCAGGCCCCCUGGCCCCUGAUGGAGUGCAAUCCCAUUAUUCAUUAGCAUAUUUUCCAGAGAGGAUUCAGACAGAGAGGUCCCUCUAGGGUUCCAACCUCAUAGGGCUCUGCAUCCAAUGUGAGAUUAGAAUUAGUUCUUCUAGAUUGAGAGAGAUAGAGUGGAGGUGUAGAUCGGAGGAAGCCCAGCCUGUUGGUGUCUACUCUGAGGUUGUACCAACGGGAUCAAGUCUCCUAACCCGAGGCUUGCUCCUAGGAUUCUUCAUUAUUUUGACUUCUAAAUUCUAGUAAGUUCUUUGUUCUUAUUGUUCUUUAGUUUAUGAGUUUACUUUAAUCUCUUCCAGUAGAGUUUAGAGUAAUCAUUGCUAGCGUAAAUGUGGUGUUUGGGCUAGGGUACUCAUAGAUAUCCCCUGUCUAGCCGGACCGUGGUAAGAGCGAGGAACGUGACAUUUUCGUAGCUACCUUUGUAGCCCACAAUCCCAUUAGCAGGAUCGGUAGGGUUUACAGGUGCGGGUCGAACAUCCUUUGUGGUGUCUAGGUUCCGUAAGCCUCCCCAUUAGAACAGUAGAUCAUCCUUACCAAGGUUAGAACGAGAGUGUGGUUGUAGUCUUCUCUAUACAUCGCCCACAUCAAAUCACAUUGUUUGUAGCCUAAAGGGUAGUAGCAAUAGAUUUGGUUAGUCAGAUGCACGCUUUCUCCCAGUGGUAAAAAUAUAAAUAUGAUACUCUGGAUAACCUCCCGGGUGAAGUGCUCACCGAUAUCCGUGCGCUUGCGGAUCAUUUCCUGAUGGCGUUAACAAAUAUCAACAAGCAUUUCUGGCGCCGUUGCCUGGGAGAAAGAUGGUUUGCUGAGAUAACUUUGAGUCUUGCUAUUAUCUUGUAUUAUACUUUUAUACUUUUAUUCUUUUAUCUUUUUAUUUUUUCCAUCUUUAUGGAUAACUCAAAUUCCACACCUAUUAUUGAAUUUUUUGCACCUUCAGAGACCAGCCAUAGACCAUGGGAGUCGACAAGUCCUUUCUUUGCCCCUAAUUAUGAUUUGUGUCCAGAGUUGAUUGCAAUAGGUCAAAACCAACCCUUUUCUAUAGCCGAGGUCCUAUCUUUUAAUCAAGAAGAUAAUGAAGUUUUAGCUACACCUAGGGAAUCUUUUAAUCUUUCUAUAAAUUCUGGUUUAAACCUAGCCCUACAAGACCAUGUUUUUCCUCGAUAUUUUCACAUUGGUCUUAAUCAUAUAACCUUUGGUAGAGUUUUUCUUUCUUUAUCUGUUAGUAAAGCAAGGUAUGUCUUCAUUCAUGGAUAUCCUUCUUGCACUAGUCUUCAUAAAAAAAUCCUAGAGAUAGAGAAGGAAUCAUCUCCCAGGCGAGGAAAGGAAGUUUCAAUAGCCAAUUUCCAAACAUUUCAAUCCCAUGAUUUGGCUAUCCAACCCAAACUAGUAGUGCUCCAAAAUCAUCUAAGGGAAGAAGAAAUUCUACCUUUGGAAAUUCAUUUUGGGAUGAGCUUAGACUUCCUGCUUCAUAAGAGACCUUUGAGUGCAUAUAGUCUGAACCUUCCUAAGAAGGGAUCUCUUAGAAAGCAUCUCAAAUCCAAUCCCUCUGAUGGACAUCUAGAAAGACUCAAGGAUGGCAUCUUAAGUGAUGCAAUAGAAGGAGAGCGAAGCCAUUUAGAAGACAAUCUCAUCUUCUCCCUUUCUACGCCCACUUUUGAUGACUCAUUCGAACCUAUCUUUAACCCCAUCCUUGAGCCUAAUAAUUUCUACUAUGCUCUUUCUCUUGAACCUCCCGAUGAUCCUAUGAAUCUCUCUAGGCAUCCCAUGCAUAAGAGUCACCAAGACCACAAGGAGGAUCGAGAAGAGCAACAUCAAUGGCUAGAGGGCAUUAAAAAUCCAUGUGCUAUCACCAUUGAAUGGAUGGACAAAACAAACUUGAGAGACAAUCCUAGAGGAAUUUUAAGCAUUCAUGAAGAAUCAUCCUUGGAGUUUGAGGAUGAGAGAAACAACAGUGAGCAUGGAAGUUAUUUCAUAAAUACCUCACCAAGUCCUUGCUCAUAUAAAACAUCUCCCCAAUCAAUUGGUCUCUCCAACCUUACCACAUUUGAGAUCUCCAACAGCCUCUUCCUUUCUAUUUAUAAAAACUUUAAAGGGGUGGUUAUCGAUGCAUAUGUCUAUAAUAAAUAUUGCAGAUAUCAUUGAGUCGAUCUUGAUAUAGGCACACUUAGGUUGGUGUUGGAGGGGAAACCACUUCCCCAACAUAAUUUGAUGGUUUCCCAAGGACAAGCUUAGUCUCCUAAAACAAGCACUUAUCAGAUCGUAACACGAACUUUUAAUUAUUUGCAACAUUGCAUACUGUAUUGAGCAUAUAAAGAUAAUUGUAGAAAUAUUCCUUUGGGUAUUCGUGUCACUAACCUUUUUAGGAUUGGAGCAAGAAGAUCCGUGGAAUGACAAGCGCAAGGUAUGCCCAACCAAUCAUCAUGCAACAUUGAAUUAAAUUCAUCCAAUCUUGAAUUUUGCAAAAUUCAAGCUUAGGGGAAAUACCUUACAUAAGAACAUACUUUGCUCUAUGUUGGUUGUCCCUACUUUUGAGGCAUGCUCAAUUUUUCUAAACACUAAACUUAUUUUUCAUCUCCACCUGAGUAGAUCUCUAUAAAUGCUGUCAUGCUACCUUUGUCUAUUCACAAGCAAGUGUUGGUUUGGAAGUACUCAACAUACUUCCAUUGGCAUUUAAAUUAAGCGUGGUGCUUAGGUUAAAUAGCCUUCCUUAAUCUGAUUAGACAUGGAGUCUACUUUGGUUACUGAACUAAAAAACUGCUUGAGUAGACAUUGGUAUAUUUUGUCGGACUAACCCCUGUAGGAAAACUUUCAAUAUCAACCUGGGGAGUCCUGAGAUACAAACUCACAUUGGAGACAAAGGAGACACAUGAAGUUUAACGAUUUGCACAAGGAAGAUAUAGCUCAUCCAUCAUAGAGAGAUGGUCCAUGGAACGAGACAAAGAGUGCCACAACCAAGGUGCACAACCGCUAAGAAAGGAAAGCUUCCACAAGGUGAUACUGUACCAUCACUCUUCAAGUAAGGUAACAUCUUAAGGUACUUGACUAUCACUUUUAUAAGGUAAAAACUUAUGUUUGAUUGAUUGGUAGAUGUCUCAAUUACAAAGCCCUAGGGUCUACAUUUAUACCCUGCUCGAAAGAGCUACAACCAGACACGACUAGAACUCGAAUUCCAAAUUAAAUAGAAAACGUAUACAAGACGAUCUAAAUAACUAAGGAAAAUCAUAAAACUAUCCCCCAUGACAACCUGGGACGCCACGAUAGAACAAUCGGCAACCUUCAAGUCUUCCUUCUGCGUCAUCGGCAGACUCUCCAUCGUAGCCAUCGACAAAGGUUAUUGCCGGCCAUCGGCACAAACACGUCACCACCCAUGGACUUAGCCACAGCCAGCCGUCUCCUCAUCGGUAACCACCCUCAUCGGCAACUCUUCUGCAGACCACUUAGCGUUGCCCUGUCUUGCCGAUCUAUACUCUACCAAUCCUGGGUACGUGUCCAAAAACGGUGUCAACACAUGCCCCCCAAUUUCGGAGUAUGAAAUCAUUAAUGCUCCGAAAUUGCCUGCAAUAAUGACGCCUUUCCGCAAUUAAUUCUUCCAAUUUCGGCAACCGACAGCACAAAUCUGAACAACCUCGGUCCGAUUUCUCGCAGAUUCCUCGAAUUCCUCAACUUCCCAAACGGACAUCUCCACUUUAAUUGCCCAUCGGCAACAUUACCGUUACAAGACGCUGCCGAUGGACUGAUCAGGAAAUCCCGCAUAGCGAAAUAUCUCAACCUCUCGAACGGUCAUCUCCACUUUAUUCGCCCAUCGGCAAUAUUACUGUUACAAGGCGCUACCGAUGGACCGACCAGGAGAUCCCGCAUAGUGAAAUAUCUCUAGAUUAUGACCGCUUCCUGUCAAAUCGCCUGCACAAUCCCUUGAUUACCGUGCGAACAGUUACCAUAUCUACCUGAGUACCCUCGGAUUUCAUAGAUACGGCGAAGAGAUAAGUCAAAUUUGCCCCUGCCCAUUUUGUCCUAUAAAUAGUUCCUUCUCGGGUACUCCUUCCCCAUCACAUCAUUCUACAGCCCCAACUCCACUUUCCCGGCGGCGGCGCUGCUCGAGAGCUCCAAGAACUCCAACGAAGCCCUUUCUUCACCAACUUCAAAGUCUUCGAUCAUCCUUUUCGCAAGGAGAUGGCCAUCAACUUCGCUGUUCCCGAGGUUAGUUCAUCACCCUUCCUCUUGUGCUUUUACCGUAUUCCUGUUCAUCCGCAAUUCAUUUUACUGAAUAUCCUUCUUUUUCUUUCUUUGUUCUUCUUUUUACCUUCAAAACCAAUAGGAUCUGUCCAAUAAAAUUGUCAUCCCUACCGAUCAGCCACACCUCCAAUGUCUUGGUCCCUUAGGGAAUCCAGAUCCCACCGAUCUUAUUAACGCAGAAACAAACAUAAUCCCCUUUAGAGCCGAGAACUUUUCUCUGGAUCUAUGGAGGGACACCUUCCGUUCCUGGACCAGUCCUACCGUGGGAUGGAAGGAUUGGUUUUUGAGAGUCAGCCACUCAAACGAAGUCUAGUGGGGUGAAAGAAAACUAGACCAAUGCAUCAGGUUGUCUAUUGCUGAUAUGCAUAGGAAUGAGUCACUGCUAAUAGCUGCAUCAUAUUUCUGGUCAGACACACUUAAUGCCUUUGUCUUUGGCCACGGCCUUGCUUCCCCUACACUUGCUGAUGUGGUUAUGCUCACCGGCCUAGAUGUAUCUUCUGCCGAUAGCACCCACUUUUUCGCUACCAAACUCAGUGCCAAGGUAGAAACUUGUUCCAUCGGUGGUUGGUCAGGGUACAUCCAAAAAUACAAACGAACGGGCCCUGUCAACACAAAGGAACAGACCAGCUUCCUAAACAUGUGGUUGGACAAAUUCGUAUUUUGUGGUCGAUCGGCAGGACCAACUUCUGUCUACUUAGCAGCAGCAGAAAGAUUAGCCAAUGGUGGCCGAUUUCCCCUCGGCUAAUGCCUGCUUGGCGCGGCUUACCACCUCCUUCAUCAAGUAACCAGGAAACUCCUGCUCGGCCAGCCCAUCGGCAACUUGGGGGGUCCCUGGUGGUUUAUCAAUAUGUGGGUUAGUCUCCACAUGCACAAGCGUCUUGAGUUUGACCUCUUCGCACAGCGCUUCCCUAGGGAUAUAACCAAGGAUUAUGAACUGGAUGAAGAAGAAUCGGCAACUCGCCCUCCUUUAAACUUUGGCAAAGUUGUCAUAGUUCUACCCGGUACAGGGGGCAAUGCAGACCAGGUCAGCCGAUUCUUCCAAACCCUAUAUGAAGGACUGACCAGAGAACAGCGAGCAUGGAUGCCUUAUGAAGAUCCAGACACCAUGUUUCCUUUGGUCUUCCAUCCGUUCAACAAUGCUCUCAACAAGGACCACGAAGUGAUGAUGGCACUGAUCACUCCCAGAGUUAUUCCAGUAAACUUCUUCGACAGCGGGAAAACCUCUAACCAAACCUAUGAGUUUUACAACCCAUCGGCACUAGCUCGUCAACUAGCUUUCGGCCAGCUGCCGAUUGCACUCCGUUAUGCCGAUGUAAUAAAACCCAGGGAAGCCAUCACUAACCUUCUCGAGUGGAUCCGAGUAGCCCAGCUGUCACCGAAUGCCGAUACAGAUUCAGAUCUGUUAGAGUAGAUUCCGGCCCUCUUCAUUACUCAGGUGUACAAACAAUGGUGGGAGGAAUGGAAGGAGCAUUUGUUCUGCAAAUCGGCUCUUACGUACCGCGGCAUGAUCGAUCCCCAGUACAAAGUUCCCGAUAAUACUGUAAGUAUUGCCAAACCGAUGUCUCAAUUCUUUCAAUUUUAUUUCCACCGGUAACUCACUUUUUGUAUUAUAUUGCAGGUUGAUAACGCUCCCCCAUCGGUCAGCAGGAGUGGCAAGCCGAUUGAUCUUUUUCCAUCAGGCCCGAUCUCCUCAAUCGGCAAUAAUGCUCCCACCUUGGCUGCCAUAAUGCACCGAGGUGUAUGCCUCAAGAAGGUCACCACCAAGCGUUCAAAGACAUCUCCAUCGGUAGCCGCCUCCGCUUUGGCGCAAGCCUUUAAGGUAAAUCUUCAAAUUUCUUUACCGAUUUCAUUCUUCUAGCUAAUACGUUUGUACUCACGAAUUCUCAUCCUUGGUAAAGCACAGUGGUACAUCGGCAAGGACCAAAAGCACAGGUACUCAUGCCCCCCAGUCUAGCCAGGCAAAGAGGAAAGGCUCCAAGAGCACCAGAUCACAAGCGAAGCAUCAGAAAACAGCAACACCUCCUCCUCUCCCAGUGUCUCCAAUUCCAGUAGAAACUUCUCCCUCCUCUCCAGAAGUCCACAUGCAACAGGCACCAUCUCCUCCUCAGGCGCAGGAAGAAGCUCAUGUAGAAGAAUUCUAACCAGAGGGACCUUAGCCAGAAGAUAUACCGGCUGACACACACGAGCAAACUGCCGAUCCAGCAGGUUCAAUCAUAGCAUCGGCAGUUUCCUCCAUCCAAACAAGUGCUGCUCCUCCUCAAGGUAAUAUACCUUUUAUCAAACCAUUGCCGAUGAACUUAUGUUUCCUGUCUUAUAAUUACUUCUGUCAUUCUUUCAGCUGACAUAGUCCCAUCGGUAACCCCAGCCGAUCGGCCUGUAGUUCCAUCGGCAUCCUCCAGCCAGAGGCGAGAGAUUGCUUUGAAACAAGUAAGCCAUUUGAUCUCCAUCAGUAUUACUAGUCAAUACUCAACCAUGAAAUGACUUACUUUAUUUCUAUUCCAGGAAUAGGACUCUCCCGAUAGCUCGUUCUCCUUUGGCAUCGACAUCUCCGAAGAUGAAGGUGAGGAAGCAAGUUCCUCUCGGGCAGUUGGAAUUACACCGGCAGAGAUCAGGGCAAAAUUGGAAGAAUUGUCGGCCCUCCUCCAUCAAGACACGGCCCCACUAGUCAAUGAUUCGGAUCCGGCCAAGGCUUUGUUCAAGACCCUUAGAGGCCAAAUCCCCACCGAUGCUGAAGAAGUUCUCUUUCAAGCAGCACAUCAAGAGAGCCGUCAACUGUAGUACCAGAGGGCUACCCAACGUCUCGCUGAUAGAGCUGCUCAUGCCCAGCUCUCUGAGGAGAUGAUGAAGGUGAAGCUCCUUGCCGAUGAGAAGCACAAGAACAUCGGCAUCUUAAAGUCCUCAGGAGAUGCUCUAAAGCAUAAGACCUCUGAUCUGUCAGCAAAGAGAGAAGCCCUGUUGGCAGAACUCAAGCAAGUGGAAGAAGCCCUAUCCCAGGCUCAACAAGAGGAGAACCAACUGCCUGAGGUGAUCAAGCGUCUUGAGCAAGAGCGAAAUGUCCAAGCCCGCACGGCGCUGCAAAUGAAGAAGAAGUUGAAGCCGGUGGAAGGCUCUGCCGAUGAAGACAUCAAAGAGAUAGAAGGAGCCAACCAAAUCCGCCUGCGCGCUAUAUUGGCAAUCCAUGCGCUGCUGACCAUGUGAGCUCUUCAUCGGCAAUAUACUUGCCCCUUUCUGCUUUCCAAACUUCCUGAUAUUUGGUAUAGCCGAUAAGACUGUUAUCGGCACUUCUAAAACAUUAAGUCUAGCCCUAGACACAUUUUGAUCCAGCCGAUAGGAGUGUUAUCGGCACUUAAACUUUUAUGCAUCGACCCAUAUGCUUGGGUAAUACUUCUUUAGAUAUUUGCCAUUUAAUGCUCUGGGAAAUUCGACCCCUUCGAGGGUUUCUAAAAUAUAGGCAUUACCAGGAGCCGAUCGACUUAUCCGAUAGGGACCCUCCCAAUUGGGGGACCACUUCCCAAAUUUCAAACUCUUAGUCCCAAUCGGUAAGAUUAAUUUUCAUACUAAGUCUCUAUCAGCAAACUCCUUAGCUCUUACCUUCUUAUCAUACCACCUGGCAACUCUCUUCUUAUUCUCUUCUAUACUCAUCAAAGCUCUUAGCCGAUGUCCUGCUAGAUCAUCCAACUCAUCUGUCAUCAAAGUAGCAUAAUCAUCGGCAGCCAAUUGAUCUUGAAAAGAUAGUCGCCUAGACCCAACCUUAAUUUCCCAAGGUAACACUGCAUCAUGCCCAUACACCAACUGAUAAGGCGAAACUUUGGUCGAUCCAUGACAAACCAUCCGGUACGACCACAAAGCUUCGUUCAACAAUGUGUGCCACCUCCUAGGAUUUUCCUCAAUCUUUUGUUUAAUAAGCUUAAUAAUUCCUUUGUUAGAUGCCUCGGCCUGCCCGUUAGCUUGAGCAUAGUAAGGAGAAGAAUUUAAUACUUUAAUCGCCAUACCGAUUGCAAAUUCAUCAAACUCCCCCGAUGUGAACAUAGUACCCUGAUCGGUAGUAAUUGUUUGAGGAAUUCCAAAUCGGUAGAUAAUAUGCUCUUUCACAAAAUCAAUCAUAUUGGCCGAUGUAACUUUCUUUAAAGGAAUAGCUUGAACCCAUUUGGUGAAAUAAUCGGUGGCAACCAGAAUAAAUUUAUGUCCUUUGUUGAAUGGUGGAUAAAUCUGGCCGAUUAAGUCAAUAGCCCAUCCCCGGAACGGCCAAGGUUUGAUAAUAGGAUUCAUGCUCGAUGCGGGUGCUCUUUGAAUAUUGCCAAAUUUCUGACAUCCUUGACACCCCCUGAAAUAUUUAAAGCAAUCUUUAAGUAUAGUGGGCCAAUAAUACCCAUUCCUCUUAAUCAUCCACUUCAUCUUAAAGGCCGACUGAUAUGCUCCACAUACCCCUUCAUGGAUUUCUCCCAUCAAGCUCUUAGCUUCAUCAUCACCUAAGCAUCUGAGAAGAAUCCCAUCAAUAGUUCGAUAAUACAAUUCGUCUUCGAGAAGCACAUACUUGGUGGCUUGAAACCGAAUUCGUCUCUCAACUUUCUUGGAUGGAUCCUUCAAAUAAUCAAAAAUUUCUUUUCUCCAAUCAUCGGCACCGAUUGCCAAUAUUGUAUUAAUCAUAGGCUGAUAUCCCGAGGCAUGCUGAGCCAACCGAUUGGCUUCUUCAUUAUGCAAUCAAGGAAUAUGCUCUAACCGGAAAUCCUUGAAUUCCUUUAACAGUCGCAUACUCCUUUCGUGAUAAGUUAUCAAAACCUCGCUUCGGCAUUCAUAGCUUCCAGCCAAUUGAUUUAUAACCAGCAUGGAAUCUCCGAAGAUUUCAACAGCAUCAGCAUGAACUUCCCUUAGUAAUUCCAACCCCUUCAUUAAAGCUUGAUACUCAGCCUGAUUAUUCGUUGAUGUCGCAACAAUCGGUAAGGAAAAUUCGUACUUCGUUCCCCGAGGGGAAAUUAACACGAUGCCGAUUCCUGCCCCCCGGUCACACGUGGAUCCAUCAAAGAAAAGCGCCCAAGGUACAAUUUCCAAAGUUUCCACUGUACCGCAAUGCUGAGUCACGAAAUCAGCCAUAAUCUGUCCUUUAACCGCUUUAGCUGAUUCGUAACGCAGAUCAAAUUCUGACAGUGCCAAAAUCCACUUACCGAUCCUGCCACUCAUGAUCGGCAUAGACAGCAUGUAUCGGACCACAUCAUCUUUGCAAAUAACAGUGCAUUCGGCCGACAGCAAAUAAUGCCUUAACUUAAUACAGGAGAAAUACAAGCAUAAGCAUAGUUUCUCAAUAGCCGAAUACCUGGUCUCAGCAUCAAUCAACCUCCUGCUUAAAUAGUAAAUCACACGUUCCUUCCCUUCAAACUCCUGAAUUAAAGCCGAACCGAUGACCAUCCCAUCGGUAGACAAAUACAAUCUGAAAGGCUUCCCUUGCUGAGGUGGAAUCAGUACUGGAGGGUUCAACAAAUAACUCUUGAUUUCAUCCAAGGCCAACUGUUGUUCUUUCCCCCAAACGAAUUCUUGAUCGGCUUUCAACUUAAGUAAAGGACUGAAAGCAUGAAUUUUACCAGACAAAUUAGAUAUAAACCUCCUGAUAAUAUUUACCUUGCCGAUCAAGGACUGCAGCUCAGUCUUGUUGGUGGGAGCAACUAUUUUGUUGAUAGCAUCAAUGGACCUCCGACUAAUCUCAAUCCCUCUCUGAUGCACCAUGAAACCAAGGAACUGUCCCGCCGAUACACCAAAUGCACACUUAUUGGGAUUCAUCUUCAAACCAUGCUUCCUCGUGCAUUCCAAUACCUUUCGCAAAUCGGAAAGAUGUUUUGUGAAGUCUCCAGACUUAACCACCAUAUCAUCGAUAUAAAUUUCCACCAGCUUGCUGAUGAACUCAUAAAAUAUAAAAUUCAUGGCUCUCUGAUAAGUAGCACCAGCAUUCUUCAAGCCAAAGGUCAUGACUAUCAAUUCAAACAACCCAACAUGACCAGGACACCUAAAUGCAGUCUUUGGAAUAACUUCUUCAGCCAUGAAUAUUUGAUUGUAUCCUGCAUUGCCAUCCAUAAAGCUGAUAAUCUGAUGCCUAGCUGCAGCAUCAACUAACAGAUCGGCAACUGGCAUUGGGUAGCCAUCCAUCGGUGUAGCUUUGUUAAGAUUCCUGAAAUCAAUGCAGACCCGAAGCUUCCCAUUCUUCUUGUAGACUGGAACAACAUUGGAAAUCCACUCGGCAUACCGACACUGCCGAAUAAACUUGUCUUCAAUAAGCUUGGUUAUUUCGGCCUUAAUAUCAGGAAGAAUAUUAGGAUUACAUCCGCGAGCUGACUGUUGAUGUGGCCGAAAUCCAGACUUGAUAGGCAACCAAUGUUCAACAAUUGAUCGGUCCAAACCAGGCAUCUCAGAAUAAUCCCAAGCAAAGCAAUCUUUAUAUUCCUUUAACAAAUCAGUUAACUGUUGCUUACACUCAGAAUUUAAUUUAGCACUAAUAAAAGUAGGUCUAGGUUUAUCACCACUACCUAUAUCUACUUCUUCUAAAUCAUCGGCCGAUGUGAAUCCCUGGCCUAAUUUUCCAUCAUCGGUGAACCUAUCCAUUAAAAACCUUCAUCAAAACUGACUGCUUGGAUCGGUGGAAUUUCAUAAUCGGCAACUUUGAGAAAAUCUUUUUGCCAAACUUCUCCUGAAAUACACCUAGUUCUCUCAUAGGUAUCUGCCUCUGCCGAUGCAAUAACAUAGGAAGAAUCUCCCAGGACAAUCUCAAUCUUGUCGCCUACCCACUGGACCAAGCACUGGUGCAUUGUAGAUGGGAUGCAACAAUUGGCAUGAAUCCAAUCUCUUCCCAACAGUAAGUUAUAAGCACCCUUUCCACUGAUCACGAAGAAGGUUGUCGGUAAGGUUUUACUACCGAUGGUCAAUUCAACACAUAUGGCUCCCUUGACCAGAGACACAUUCCCUUCAAAGUCUUUAAGCAUCAUAUCGGUCUUGGUCAAAUCCUGAUCUCCUUUUCCAAGCUUCCGAUACACUGCAUAUGGCAUUAUAUUGAUAGCAGCUCCACCAUCAAUUAAAAUCUUGGUCAUUGGCUGACCAUCCACCCUUCCUUUGACAAACAGAGCCUUAAGAUGUUGCCUUUCAUCAUCGACAGGCUUUCCAAAUAUGGCUGUCAUCGGAUCCAGAGCCAACUGAGCUAUUUGAUCGGAAAGCUCCAACUCAUCAUCACUGGACGGCGCAAGGAAUUCCAUCGGCAACAUGAAUACCUUGUUGAUGUCAGCCGAUGGCCCCUUUCCCUUAGGAUCUGGUUGUUGCUGAUCCCCAGACUGGCCAGAGUUCUCGCCCUUGCUUAACUCUUCUCGUCUUUCAUGCUGCAGUCUUCUCUUUUGUGUCCUGGUCAACCCUUCUAGACACCAUGGAGGAAGUUGCUGCUGCCUUACCGAUGGGUGAUGAUUUUCCCUUGACUCCAUCUGAUAAGUAUUGGCAUCCCUGCAGAAUACAAACUCAUCGGGAACCCGUGCAUUAGCCAUCUCUUCAAGCUCUUCCUGGUUCCUGGGAAAGUAUUCAACACGGUCACCAAGCCUAUUGUGCACACUAAGCCUGCCCCCAAACCGAUCAUGAAUGGACGUUCUUCCUCUAAUCGGCCCAUUAAAUCGCCGAUCAUCAUUGCGAUGGCGCCGGUCGGACCUGUCAUACCGAUCAUAACCAUUGCAUUCAGGACAAUCUCUGACAGUAGGAAGCUUGAUAUUUUCCUCCCAACAAUGGAUGAAGAACGGACAAUUCCAGUGAUCCCUAUGCCGAUUCCACUCCUGUCGGCGUCUUUCCUCUUCCCGACGAUAGUCCUCUUGCUGGCGCCGAUACCAAUCCUCACGUUGCUGCCAAGUCUCCCGAGGCCUUCUGUGAGUUAUCACAAUACCAGAUCGGGGAGGCCUUCCUGAAUUAGUCUCCUCCUAGAUUAAGCCUUUUCCCUUGGCAUCGGCAGUAGUGAUCUGAUGCUGAGGGUCCACCGAUGCACUCCUUUCAGCUGCCUCUGAUGUCAAGACCUUGGUCUUUCCUUUAGCAUCCAGCAUGUUCGUUGGGAAAGGAUGUUGAUCAAUCUUCAUUGGCUUCUGAGCUUUAGAGCCAUCGAAUUUCAUCCUUCCAGAUUCUAUAGCCGAUUGCAACUGUUGUCUAAAAACUUUGCACUCGUUGGUGCUGUGAGAAGUUGCAUUGUGCCAUUUGCAGUACUUCAUCCUUUUUAAUUCUUCAGCCGAUGGGAUUACAUGAUUAGGUGACAAUUUGAUCUGACCCUUUUGAAGCAGAAAGUCAAAUAUCCUAUCGGCCUUAGUGAUGUCAAACGCGAACUUCUCUGGCUCUUUAUGCCCAAAAGGACAAGACAUCGGUUUCUUAUUUUUCACCCAUUCUGCCAAGCCGAUGACUGGUUCUUCAUCAGAGUCCGCUUCAUCAACAAAUGAUACCUUUUUAUUCCAUGCUCUCUUGGGCUCGAAAGGCUUGAUAUCUUGAUCAGAAAUUCUCUGCACCAAAUGACUUAAGCUUUCGAACUCCUGAGAUGCAUAUUUGUCAUUGAUGUGUGGCAACAAACCCUGGAAAGCCAAAUCGGCUAACUGCCGAUCAUCCAGAACCAGGCUAUAGCAUUUGUUCUUGACUUCCCAUAUCCUCUGCACAAAACUUUCAACCGAUUCAUCAUUACGUUGCUUCAAUUUGACCAAAUCGGUGAUCUUCUUCUCAUGGACUCUAGAAAAGAAAUAUUUGUGAAAUUGCUUUUCUAGAUCGGCCCAAGUAAUCAGUGAGUUAGGAGGUAAUGAUAUAAACCAGGUGAACGCCGAUCCAGACAAUGACGACGAGAAUAAUCGGACCCUUAACUCGUCUCUGUUAGCAGCUUCUCCACAUUGAAUGAUAAACCUGUUGACAUGUUCCAUAGUUGACGUGUCAUCCUACCUAGAAAACUUAGUAAAAUCCAGCACUUUGUACCGAUUUGGGAGCGGGAUUAAAUCAUAAGCAGGAGGAUACGGUGUCCGAUAAGAGUAAGUGUUGACUUUGGGUUUUGUCCCAAAUUGGUCUCUCAUUACUUCAGCAAUCUUAUCGGCCCAAUAAGCAUCAGCAUCUUGCUGAUGAGGUGGUUGCGGAUCUGGGAUCUGCUGAUGUGCUUCCACGUGUCUAUGCGGGGCGCGAUCUGCAUGGCACAUUGGGUUGAUCAUCUGGCCACCAACCUACUGUCCACCAAACUGUGGACCACCAAUCUGCUGCCCAAGAUUCAUCGGCCGGUUGGGCAAUCCUUGAUUCUGGAACCCAGGGUAUAUUUGGCCUUGUUGGAACCCUGUAGCCUGAUGAUUCUGUUGGGGCAUUUGUGGAAACACUUGCUGCCCAGACCAUCCACUAUUAGCAUUCAUCGGCAUAGGUCCUGCCGAUGACUGGUAAUUGGGCAUCAUCAUUGAGUUGACAUACCCUUGCUGAGCCAUAAACCUCUGCUGCGUCGGCAUUGAGUCUGCCGAUGGAUUAGGCAUCUGGAACGUUGGAACUUGAGAAUUCCCAGUGUAAGGCCUUGCAGUAGUGGUUGUAGUAUACUGGGGACUCUAAUUCAUCGGCAUAUUUGGAGGUGCCGAUGCCAUGGGAACCUUGCCUCUCAUAUCAGCUGCCUGAGACGUGCCAGGUGUCUUCAAGUAUUCCGGGGUCAUACCGAAACCCCACCAAUUAGGGGGAACCGAUCCCGACAUUGCUAAUGCCAAUAGAUCUGUAGUAAGCUUGAUCGACUCAUCUGAUGUUGAUGGAUUAGAUGGCAUUGGCGUUGAUUGCGCAUUAGACACUCCUAGCGUGCUUGGAGGAACAGUAGUUUCUGUGCCCACAGCGGCCGUAGCAGCCGAUGGAGCUGUCACCACUGGCGAUCCCGACUGAUGAUAGACAGGGCCCACAUAAUUUGGUGGCAAUUGUCCUUCUUUGAAAGUUCUAGCCACGGCAUUGAAAACCGUAUUGGACAGGACACCAGCUUGGUUGAUCAAGGCACGGUUGAUAGCAUUAUCGACCAUGUCUUGGAGUCUACCAGGAUUGGCGUCGAAGGUAACCUGCCGAGGUGUCGUCAAUGCUUCUUUCUGGAUAAUUUCGCCGCUCCUGUUUAUGCUGAAGGCCUUGAGACAUUGUUGCUUGUAAUCCUCCAUAGCCUUCGCAAUAGCUUGCUUCUGCUCAUCUUUGAGGCUAGCUUCUGUGUCACGGGGAUGACGUUCUCCAAAUCAAAAUCGCUAGUCGCCAUGCUGAUCUUGAUCUUGAAUAAGGUCCCAAUGGGUGUGCCAAAAGAUGUGUUGAUGCAAAAGUUGAUCUGCAAACACAAAGGGCUAAUACCCGAUUUAAACGUUAAGGCGUGCCAGCCGAUUUGACCUUGCUAUCGGCAAAGGUGAUAACUCGAAUACUUUGGUCCCGACAACAGCGAUGCGCCCGGAUGCCACAGCCAAGAGGUAUUCACGCGGAACUUGAGAACCCGUCGAGCUUAAGUCGACGGAUUCCUAAGAACUCGUAAUAAAAAGGAAAAAGUAUGACAAAGUUGUCGAAAAAGUAGAUGCUGGAAUAUGAGUAAAAACUUAUGUUUGAUUGAUUGGUAGAUGUCUCAAUUACAAAGCCGUAGGGUCUACAUUUAUACCCUGCUCGAAAGAGCUACAACCAGACACAACUAGAACUCGAAUUCCAAAUUAAACAGAAUCCGUAUACAAGACGAUCUAAAUAACUAAGGAAGAGCAUAAAACUAUCCCCCAUGACAACCUGGGACGCCACGAUAGACCAAUCGGCAACCUUCAAGUCUUCCUUCCACGUCAUCGGCAGACUCUCCAUCGUAGCCAUCGGCAAAGGUUAUUGCCGGCCAUGGGCACAAACACGUCACCACCCAUGGACUUAGCCACAGCCAGCCGUCUCCUCAUCGGUAACCACCCUCAUCGGCAACUCUUCUGCAGACCACUUACCGUUGCCCUGUCUUGCCGAUCUAUACUCUACCAAUCCUGGGUACGUGCCCAAAAACGGUGUGAACAAUGGGUGACACCGUAUCAAGAGGUGCAGAUGUCAAGGCCCACACCUAAUCAAAUGAUACACUUAAAAGAUGAACACGGUGAGAAGUCUUGUCCAGAAGACUUAAAACAUUGGAUCAUUGCGGGAAGGUAAAAUCGGUAUUUAUCCAUAUUUAUCUUUUCUACAUUCUUUUUCCUUUUUAUUCCAUCACUUGCAUUAGCAUAUUUACUUUUCCACAUUAGCAUUAGAAAAGAAAACAAAAAUAUUUGUUCACUGCACUGCAUCAUAAAAUCUAAAGCCCCAUGUGAGUAGACUUGUGGUUUAAAACCCGUAGGUAUAUUGACUGUGGUGGCAUAAAAUAAAUAUGUUUUCAUCUUAAAAUAAAAAUAUAAAAAUAAUAAGUGCAUGAUCCUGCUAAAUAAAUAAAAUUUAUUCGGAGGAAUCUGAAUAUGAUAAAGGCUAAAAGAUUUUAUGCUAACACUUAACCAGUUCCACAAAGCUUUGUUGUAUAUUUGAGCUCCGCAGAAUUCAAGGAUCAAAGAAGACUAGUCGACGGAGGACAUAAUAAUCGCUGUCAGGGUGCUGCCGACAUUCAAAUACACCUCCGUCACCUGCUAGCUACAUCAGAAGAAAUUACGUCAAAAUCCAGCUAAGUGUUUCUACUCGCGUUUAUGCUUUACUCAAAUAAUAAAAAGAUGCAUAAUCAUGAAAACCCAAAUAAAAAUUUUGUGCUUAUAUAUAUCUUUGCUUAGUUUGCUAAAUAAAUAAAUAAAGUGUCUAGGCCAAACUGAACUUAAAUGACAAACUCUUACAUGGAUAUGAUAAAUAGUUGCUCUGCCAUGUACCUAGUUUUCAAGUUUGAGCUCUCUCUCAAGUUUAGGCAUAACUGUUAUAAUCCAAACUUGCUCUAAACCUGAACUUGUGGGAAGAGUACUUGAUCUAAAGUCUAAGUCGUUAACGGAUAUGAUAUGGAAAGGUUGAGCUGCUGUUUAUCUGUUCCUAGAGUUGCUAGAAUUCUGGAGAAUAUUAUCUUUGAAACUCUUUAGAAUAUUACAUGAUGAGUUCCUAUAUGAUAAGAGUUUAAAUUCCUACCACAGCCAUACAUACAUGCCCAUUAGACUAAGAACCAUACAUUUACUUUUUACUGAUUAUGAGCAUUGAGUGUGGUCAAGCUGUGUAAACCCAUAGGAGCUUGUCAUACGGUUAAAAUCAAGAUCCACUUGCACGUUCACUCACACAUGCUACUUCUACUCCGGAAGUACGCAUCCACAUACAUCCACUCACUUCCAUCUCCAAAUUCACCUAAAAGUAUUCUACUCCUAAUCCGGGAGAGAAUAGCCAAAAACAUUCUCCUAUUUCUGUUUUUCCCUGUGAAAUAAAUGCUCAAGUUAUCUUGGUUACUACCACUUGCUAUAUUAUUUCAGGAGAUGAGUGCUUAAAAAAAGAAAAAAAAAGAAAAAAAGAGAAAGGAUACGAGGAAAUAAAAAGGGGCAAGUGCCCAGAACCUCAAAGAAAAGAAAAAGUGAGACGAGAGGUAAAAAUGGAUAAGUGUCCGACGAUAGAAAUAGGGGUACAAGAUACCCACCUCAGAAAAGAAGAAAAAAAAUAUAGAGCAUCUCAUUCUCCUCAAAAAAGCUUUAAAGUGCAAGAAUGGUAUGUAUCCCCUAACAAGAGCAAAAGUAGAAUUAGACUUUCACCAUUGUUAUCACCAUCAUCACCAUACACCAUUCACUCGCCACACAUGCACAUCUUGAUUUGACUUAUUGACUUGUUCUUCUGGAUCCAUGGUUUGACUAUGCAAUAAAUGUCUUGUAAGUAUGUAUGCUUUGUCUCCCACCUAUGCGCUUCAGAUAUCAAAACCUUAUUAGAGUAGGGUGAGAGAGAAGGCAAUAUCACUAUGCCUCAUACCAAAAAUACCACAUACUUUGAGAGAAGGCAUAUACCAUUACUGCCUUGGUAAGGAUCCAGAAAUACCACAAAAGAGAGAUUUGAGAGAGUCAUACAAGGAAUCUCUGAGUUUUAUUUGAAAAAUCUGCAAAAACUCUAGAGCUGUAGUUAAUCAAAGAACAAGAGACAUGGCGCUUGACUAGACUAUUCUAUAUUUUAACUGUUCAAGGCACAAGUGACGGUUGCAAGCCCCAUGGUGAAAGGUAAAAUGAGUAAGUUUUAAGUCUUAACAGUUUACUCUAACUUAGAGAUGAGAUCUUGCUUGAACGCAUGUGUACUUUUAAGGCAUGAAACCACUGCAGAAACUCUUGAGUCCAUCCUUGCUCAGGGACAAGCAAGAGGUAAGCUUGGGGGAGUUGUUGACGGUCCUUAAGUAUCAAAUAUAAUCAACAAAUAAAUAGAAAAAAGGACCCAAAUGCAACCGACACCCAGACUUAGGGUUUUAUCUGAUAGAAUUCCACGAGUUUUGGUGUUUGUCUCUUUCUGCAGGGGGUUAUCAGGAAAUAUGGAGGAAAGGCCCACACGUGUGAUUUACAUAGAGAUAAUUAGGAGCCGCGCAAUUUUCCCUAACCUAGAAGAGUCUAGAAGCCACGGGAACGAGCGGGAGGCCAAGCGGGCCUAGGGACAGGGCGCCCGCCCUCCCCCCUUGGGCGCCCGCCCUGCUGCCUGGGCCAAUCAGGCUCCGUCUCGUGGAUAAUGCUCCACCGACCUAGAGGAUUAAGGAAAACCGUGCGAUUUAAGGUCGGUUUGAUCCGAUGGCCCAUAUUCAUUUGGAGGGACUAUAUAAGCAGGCCCCUAGCCCCUGGAGGAGGCACCACUGAAACCCUAAUUAAUUCAUUCAUCUCGGGAGAAGAAGUCUCUUAUCAAGCCCUAGAGCCACCACAUCAACUAGAUCUCUAGUUUAGCAUAGCUACAUAGGAUUAGAACUAGGAGUCAAUCUUCGAUUGGUUUUCGGAUCUGUCAACAGGAUUCUUGGUAACUCCUCUACUGUUCUUCAUUUGUUCAUCAUUGUUCUUCAAUAUUAUGAAUAUGACUUUGUUCUACUUCAAUAUAUUGAUUAUGACUUUGCUCUACUUGUUUAUACUUGCAAUUAUAUCGUUCUUAGUUUAUCAUAGUUAUAUGCUUGGCUUAGUUAGAUUGGAAUUAUAUACAUGUUUAGGAUCGUAUAGCGUUUAUCCAUGUGUACAGUGGGUAAAUGAUAAGUAUUGUGUAGGCGUGGUGCCUAUACCGUAUUUAUCUGCGAUUGUACCCUAUAUGCCGGAUCGCGGGGUAGUUCGUGGUGGUGACAGCUCUAUUGAUUCUUAUAUAGUCCCCCUCCCGUGUAUAGGGCAGGCAGAGCAACAUUAUUACAGGGGAGUGAUUGCUAUGUUUCUCAUCUUCCUUGAUAAUUGUAAUACCCGAUUUUAAGGACAAAACCAGAUAUGCACCAUAUGUGAGUCUUAGAAGCCAAAUCUCACAUAUAGCUACAAAUAAAGGGUCAUAUCAAAAGACAAUGCAUAAAUUUAUAACGUACUUAGUAUAAAAGAGAUAACCUUUAAUAGCAAACAACGGAUAGACAACUCCAAACUCCGGGUAUUAACUUCUCUCUACAGGAUCCAACUGACUGGUUGAUCACAAGCCUAAACUUCUCCUGAGGUUUGGGGGAAAUAGCAAGAGUGAGUCCAUGUCGAACUCCACAAGUAUAGCAACUAGAUUGUAUAGCUCCCACAAUCUCAUGAUCAAUGUGACAUAAAUAAUGUAGAGCAUUAAAUAAUAAAUAAUGAACAUAUAUAACACACAAGAAUCAUCAUCGUCGAUGCAAGAAUCCCCAAGGUCGCUCUUGACCGUGAGCACGACUAGUAUACCAAUUUUUUAACACUCUGCAGAGGUUGCACAACUUUACCCAUAAGUCAUGAUUUACUCUUUCGCCCAAGGUGAUCAGCCUCUUAACCCACUUCCAAGGAAGGUCGGCAGGGAUCACUAUGAAGCCUUUCAAAAGUUCGUCUAACUUGUUAGGGCCGCAAGGUUUCCUUCACGAGCAGAUAUAGAUAUUCCCCUUCCGAAUGGCACAAUGACGCGCACCCUAUACACAUUGGGACAGAGGCUCGCACUAUAGCCGUGUCAGUUCAGCCCCUCUAGCGCCCUUUCGGGUAACCUCUAACAAGCUAGAAAAGGUCUUCAUACUGAGCUAAAGCCAGAGCCAUUAUAGCCGUCAUGGUUGCACUGUUGUCCCGGUUAUCACUUAUAGAUAAAUCAUCAAGUGGCUAAAAAGUCAUUUUUAUCAUUUUUUACUUAACAUUAAUCUAGUCACACGAUCAUGGUCACAGAAAUAAAAUCCAAAUGCUAUACUUGCCUUAAUCUAAUUACUCUUGCUGAUCUUGCUGGUCUUACUAGUUGUCCAAGGCUCUGAUCUUGAUCACUGAAGCACUCUGGUUCACCAAGGAUUGCUCAUCGUCUAAUCUCGAUCAUCGAUCACACAAACAAUCGAAGAAAACAUACACGAAGCAAACAAGACUACAAUUAGAACAAUACAUCAAACAUUUGAAAACAGUAUGAAAAGUUUAUAAAAUGAUUCUACGCAUCGCUACGAUUUUAUAGACAUAAAGAUCACGAAAAUCGGAGCUAAAACGGAGAAGUUAUGAAUUUUCUAAGAUUUUAUAUAGAAAAAUAAUUAAUUAAUUAGGGUCAAGAAAAUAAAAAGUGUCAAAUUGAGAAUACAAUGUUACUAACAUGUAGAGCUCAUUAAAACGAACCUAACGCAAUUUGAAUGGGUCAAAUCGGAGUUAAAAUGAAUAUUUUAUGGCCAAAAAAAAGUCAGUGGCAAUUCUAUAAAUAGUGAAAACGUAUAUUUAAUCUAAAACCGAGCUAUUUGUAUUUUCCAAACUGAAAGAUAAAGUGACUGGGGUUUACGUUGGUGGACAGGGAGUAGGUUCACCGGCAGUGACGCUUUCUUGGAGCUACAGCAACGCCGGAGCAGCCGACCGUUCGUAGAUGUCGUGUAUAGGCGAGACGAUGGCGAUCACGUUGUAGAGAAGAAAAUAUAAAUUUUAUUUUACUACCUUAGAAAUUAUCAAAUUAGAGGCUUCCCAUAUGAUAGUCUUUGAUGUGCUUUGCCUAAGAGGUUGCUACAUAUAUAUAUAGGGAGAAAAACUCCCCACCUCUACGUCAACUAGCGAUAUGGUACUAAUUAAUUUGCAACCUUCAUCUUUACUAAUAGGCCUAAUUAAUUAUUAAAGUCCAUUAGUAAAUAAAGACAUUGACCAUUGAGAUCAUGGGCUUGAGCGUGAGAUAACAUGAAAGAUUUUAUUAUUUUCGAAAUUAAUUAAUUUGGCGAAUAAAAUAAUCCUAGAAAAGUUCACAAUUAUGAUUUAAGUCAUGAAAAAUACUCUGAAAGCUUCGAAAAUUCAGGAAAAAUUCUCAGAGAUGUUAUAGAACAUGGGGAAUCCGAAUAAAGAUUUCAGAGCUCAUGAGAAGAUUGUUUGGAGCAUCUAAAAAUUAGAUCAUGCUCACAGAAAAGUGAGAACAGAAGCUGAAAAAAAUUCCCGAAAAAUUUGUAGAGAGUGCUUGAUGGACGAGAAACUAAAAGAAGUGCUUUGAGUGACAAAGAAAAUAUUUUAGGAAGGUCCUAAUAAAAAUUUGAGCUUAGAAACAAGAAAUUUGGUUGUAGAUAAAAGAUAAAUACGUGCCGAAUAAGGAAGAACGAUCUACUAAACGUAUUUUAAAUAUUUUUCUUACUAUCGACACAUAAAGGAGCAACAAGCAUCACAUCAAAACAUAUGCACCAGCAUGUAUGCAUAAUAAUAUUGCUAAGUCUUAUGAUAAAUUUUAAUUUAAUGAAAAAUAUUAUUUUUCCUAUAUUUUCAUGAGCACAAAAAUACAAAAUUAAAUAAUUUUAUCUAUAUUUCAAAAGGAGUAAAUUUUAGGGUGUUACAAUUCUACCCCCUUAAGAUGAAUCUCGUCCUCGAGAUUCGGAAGACGGUUAUCAAAGAGACAUAGAUUUUGAAUCUUGUUCACUUUCUUGAGUAGUUAUAUCUUCAUAGCAAUGAUUCCACUCUCUUACUCCAAAUAGCCUCUCAAGUAUUCCUAAAAUAUUGACGAGACACCUAGUGUAGUAGGUACGAUCCUUCUUUAAACUUAUUUCUCCUUUCCUUUUUAGACGCUACACAUCAUAUAGUCUUUUAAAUUCCCUGUACCGAGUCUCUUGAUCCAAGGUUAGUUUCAUCACUAAGUUCCAAUUAUCGGUACCAAUAUCACAUUUAAGUUGCUUCACUCUCACACUAUACAUACAACUCUGUAGACUUUGGUGUCAUCUAAUCCUCAUACACAACUCUUAAUCCAUGAGUAUCAAUAAUGACAUAAACCUCCAUUGGCAUUAGCACACUCCAAAUAGAAUGAUAUCUUGAGACAAACCAACAUACCAAGCACUUGAUGUCCUUGUAGAUGUUCCAGUUAUUAACCACUUCUUCUCCUUGUAGUUCUUUAAUUGGGCUACCCCCCUCAAGAAAAGUCAACUAGGGGACCAAGAAAGGUAGCUUGCAUACUUUCCAGACAAGUUAACAUUGAGAACUUCUGACAUCCCAAAGAAUUUAUGUGCAGUGGAGCAAACAGGUAUCCUGAAAUUUCCUCGCGAUAUGAAAAAUACCAGCCUAGUAAAACAGGUAUAACUCUUAUUCUGUUAAUCCAAUAGAGUUGCAGAUUAUAUCGUUAGAAAACUUAUGAAAUUCCCUACAACUUUCAUGUAGAAGUCCUCCUUAGGUUCUGUCUUUAAGCAUAGAUAAAAUAACCAAACAUAAUAUCCUUCCUGAUAAUGUCUCAGCAAAGGUGCAGUAAAUUCCAGAAAUUAUAUCUCGAGCUACUUAACUCAGCUGGAGAUGAUCCUUACAUUUUUGAAAAGCUUAGGAAAUCCUCUACAACUUUUGUAUACCAUGUUUUCCCAGAUUCUGUCUUUAACUUAGCCGAAAAUAGGAAAUACCAAAACUGUCCAGACUUUGAUACAGAACAGAAACAUCCAAUUGUAAAUAUCAUAUCUCAGGUUCUACUUAGCUAAAUAAGAUCCAGGUUAUACCGUUGGAAAGCUUAGCAAGUCAUCUAUAACUUUUCUAUAGAACACUUUUCCAAAUUCUAUAGUUAUAUUUGUCUCAAACAGCAAGUUCCCAAAACUGGUCCAGAUUCUGGACAGCACAUCUGUAUCAUCUUGUGAUUUUUGUAUCUUCCAUACCAUAAUAGCUAUGAGGGUGAUUCUUGCCGUCAGAGAAAGAUCUUGAAGUCUAGUUGUUCCCAGAAAAAUUUGAUGAACUUUGCACGAACGGACCUUUAGAUACACCAGCAUUAUUGCAAACUGCUCCAUAAAUCAGUAAGGGAUAGAAACAAGAGAUAGCCAAACCCAACUACUUAUUUCAUUAAUCCUUAUGCCUUAGGGCUAUAAACUAAUGAAAUUGUGAAGUAAUUCCACAAGAUCAUUGCAAUCAUUACAAAGAUCUAAAUCAAACAUAAGCAUAAUAACAAACCAACUAAGCACACUUCACUCAACUUGCGAUAUUAUCGUUCUCUUCAUUAAGGGCAAAGAUCCUAAAACUUAUGUUUCGAAGACGCAAGAAGGGGGUAAGAAAAGGUUCUAAUAGCAUACUGAAUCAAGAAGUGAAGGUGAGAACAUGUACUUUUGAAAUAAGCAACAAGGUGGAGACAAAUAGCAAGGAUAGGGAUAUAGUAUGGAUGAAAAUACCAAGGUUUAUAGAGUAAAGAUUUUAUAACAAUUCCAAAACCUUAAGACGACAAAUUUCUAACUAGGCUUGCGUCCUACAGUCAGCAUUGCUCUGAUACCACUUUGUAAUACCCGAUUUUGAGGACAAAACCAGAUAUGCACCAUAUGUGAGUCUUAGAAGCCAAAUCUCACAUAUAGCUACAAAUAAAGGGUAAUAUCAAAAGACAAUGCAUAAAUUUAUAACGUACUUAGUAUAAAAGAGAUAACCUUUAAUAGCAAACAGCGCAUAGACAACUCCAAACUCUGGGUAUUAACUUCUCUCUACAGGAUCCAACUGACUGGUUGAUCACAAGCCUAAACUUCUCCUGAGGUUUGGAGGAAAUAGCAAGAGUGAGUCCAUGUCGAACUCCACAAGUAUAGCAAUUAGAUUGUAUAGCUCCCACAAUCUCAUGAUCAAUGUGACAUAAAUAAUGUAGAGCAUUAAAUAAUAAAUAAUGAACAUAUAUAACACACAAGAAUCAUCAUCGUCGAUGCAAGAAUCCCCAAGGCCGCUCUUGACCGUGAGCAUGGCUAGUAUACCAGUUUUUAACACUCUGUAGAGGUUGCACAUCUUUACCCAUGAGUCAUGAUUUACCCUUUCGUCCGAGGUGAUCAGCCUCUUAACCCACUUCCAAGGAAGGUCGGCAGGGAUCACUAUGAAGCCUUUCAAAAGUUCGUCUAACAUGUUAGGGCCGCAAGGUUUCCUUCGCGAGCAGAUAUAGAUACCCCCCUUCCGAAUGGCACAAUGAUGCGCAGCCUAUACACAUAGGGACAGAGGCUCGCACUAUACCCGUGUCGGUUCAGCCCCUCUAGCGCCCUUUCGGGUAACCUCUAACAAGCUAGAAAAGGUCUUCAUACUGAGCUAAAGCUAGAGCCAUUAUAGCCCUCAUGGUUGCACUGUUGUCCCGGUUAUCACUUAUAGAUAAAUCAUCAAGUGGCUAAAAAGUCAUUUUUAUCAUUUAUUACUUAACAUUAAUCUAGUCACACGAUCAUGGUCUCAGAAAUAAAAUUCAAAUGCUAUACUUGCCUUAAUCUAAUUACUCUUGCUGAUCUUGCUGGUCUUACUAGUUGUCCAAGGCUCUGAUCUUGAUCACUGAAGCACUCUGGUUCACUAAGGAUUGCACAUCGUCUAAUCUCGAUCAUCGAUCACACAAACAAUCGAAGAAAACAUACACGAAGCAAACAAGACUACAAUUAGAACAGUACAUCAAACAUGCGAAAACAGUAUGAAAAGUUUAUAAAAUGAUUCUACGCAUCGCUACGAUUUUAUAGACGUAAAGAUCACAAAAAUCGGAGCUAAAACGGAGAAGUUAUGAAUUUUCUAAGAUUUUAUAUAGAAAAGUAAUUAAUUAAUUAGGGUCACGAAAAUAAAUAGUUUCAAACUGAGAAUACAAUGUUACUAACAUGUAGAGCUCAUGAAAAUGAACCUAACGCAAUUUGAAUGGGUCAAAUCAGAGUUAAAAUGAAUAUUUUAUGGCCAAAAGAAAGUCAGUGGCAAUUCUGUAAAUAGUGAAAACGUAUUUUUAAUCUAAAACCGAGCUGUUUGUAUUUUCCAAACUGAAAGAUAAAGUAAUUGGAGCUUACGUUGGUGGACAGGGAGUAGGUUCACCGGCAGUGACGCUUUCUUGGAGCUACAGCAACGCCGGAGCAGCCGACCGUUCGUAGAUGUCGUGUAUAGGCGAGACGAUGGCGAUCACGUUGUAGAGAAGAAAAUAUAAAAUUUUUUUACUACCUUAGGAAUUCUCAAAUUAGAGGCUUCCCAUAUGAUAGUCUUUGAUGUGCUUUGUCUAAGGGUUGCUAUAUAUAUAGAGAGAAAAACUCCCCACCUCUACGUCAACUAGCGAUAUGGUACUAAUUGAUUUGCAACCUUCAUCUUUACUAAUAGGCCUAAUUAAUUAUUAAAGCCUAUUAGUAAAUAAAGACAUUGACCAUUGAGAUCAUGGGCUUGAGCGUGAGAUAAAAUGAAAGAUUUUAUUAUUUUCGAAAUUAAUUAAUUUGGCAAAUAAAAUAAUCCUAGAAAAGUCCAGAAUUAUGAUUUAAGUCAUGAAAAAUACUCUGAAAGCUUCGAAAAUUCAGGAAAAAUUCUCAGAGAUAUUAUAGAACAUGGGGAACCCGAAUAAAGCUUUUAUAGCUCAUGAGAAGAUUGUUUGGAGCAUCUAAAAAUUAGAUCAUGCUCACAGAAAAGUGAGAACAGAAGCUGAAAAAAUUCCCGAAAAAUUUGUAGAGAGUGCUUGAAAAGAAGUGCUUUAUGUGAUAAAGAAAAUAUUUUAGGAAGGUCCUAAUAAAAAUUUGAGUUUAGAAACAAGAAAUUUGGUUGUAGAUAAAAGAUAAAUACGUGCCGAAUAAGGAAGAUCGAUCUACUAAACGUAUUUUAAAUAUUUUUCUUACUAUCAACACAUAAAGGAGCAACAAGCAUCACAUCAAAAUAUAUGCACCAGCAUGUAUGCAUAAUAAUAUUGCUAAGCCUUAUGAUAAAUUUUAAUUUAAUGAAAAAUAUUAUUUUUUCUAUAUUUUCAUGAGCACAAAAAUAUAAAAUUAAAUAAUUUUAUCUAUAUUUCAAAAGGAGUAAAUUUUAGGGUGUUACAAUAAUGUCACUAAGCAUGGGCGUAGUCCUGUCUCGCAAUGAUUGCUAAGUAUAAUUGCACUAACUAUGAUAUGCUAGACUUUAUAGUUAAGAAUAACUUAGGAUAUUCUUGUAGUUCAUCCUAAUUCCAUGCUAAUGACUUGCUAGAAUAUCUGUUGAGGUGCUUAUCAUUAUUAUAUGUGGCUAGUUAUGCUGAUCAGAUUAAUUAUCUUUGUUACCAUUCGUACUUUAUUUGUAUUUUAUGUGACAUUUAUCCCUGUAUGAAAGAGAUAGAUAAAUGCUCUCUAUUACACAUGCAAUGAUACAUACUCAAUUCCAUAUUUCAUUCCAUAAUCAACAUUGAUGAUUAGCAAUCCCUUCGCAGUGGUAAAAAUAUAUAUAACGAUACCUAGAAUACUUCUGGGUUAAAAUGCUACAUCGGUAUUAAUCUGUGCGCUUGCAGAUCUCAUUUAUUUAUUCAGAAGAGCAAUUGCAUAUUUCAAUACCGCGUCUCUCAUGUCAUGUUGGGGAUGACAACAUAGCUUAAGUGGCAUGAGGGAUAGGUUUGGCAUUUUUGGUGCCGUUAUCAGAAUUUGAAAACUAAGUCUACUUUUGGUAAUGACGUUAAGAAUGCCCAACAAGCAUUUUUGACACCGUUGCCGGGGAAGGUUGAUUACUAAUAAGUAAUGAAUACGGAAUUUUGAGUCAUCAUUCGCAUCACUAAUAUGAUUGAGAUUAUCAAUUCUCUCGUACAACUUUACCCCUGUAUUUUUUCUAUUUUGAUUAUUUUAUGCACGGUAAUUAUGGAUAGAAGACAUCUUCCAGGAAAUUUUGUUGACGACCCCGAAGCAUUAUUUAGAAAAACUAAAGCCAAGCUCCGAUCAUCAACACUUCAGCACAAAGCUUCGUCCAAACCAGAAGACCGCCGAAGUUUCAUCCAGAACUUGUCGAUCGAGUUCGAAGUCAUGGCGAACAAGUCAAUCCGCGAGUUCUCAGCUCCCACUACAGACAACAUCCGCAUGGGACCUGCUGUGGAGAUCGACCGCAACUUUGAGCUCAAGCCUCGGCUCAUCAACAUGGUGCAAGCCAACCAGUUCUGUGGAAAGGCGCACGAAGAUGCUAGUGCUCAUCUCCAACACUUCCUGGAGAUUUGCAGCACAUUCACCAUGUCAUAAGUCCCCAGAGAUGUUAUACUACUUCGCCUCUUCCCAUUCUCACUAUUUGGGAGAGCGAAGCAGUGGUUCUACGCUACAAAGGAGAAGAAUACUACGUGGGCACUCUGCUCCACGAACUUUCUGGCUAAGUUCUUUCCCAUGGGCAAGACCAAUGCUCUCUAUGGGAAAAUUACAAGUGUUCAGCAACAAUAUGAUGAAUCCGUUCGAGAAGCAUGGGAGCGCUUCCAAGACUACAUCCUAGAAUGGAGAGCUGGCUGCUGAUGCAGACGUUUUAUCAUGGGCUCGCCAAUAGCGCCCGUGAAACCAUGGAUGCUGCAGCUGGAGGAGCAUUCCUGUCACUCACCAUACCACAAGCCACAGCUCAAGGCUGGAACGAAGAGAGGACCCAGACACGCAAGAAGGGUGGAGGUAUGCACCAGCUCAAAGGAGGUAGACAUGUUGUCUGCCAAGCUAGACCUGCUCAUGAAGAAGCUCGAUGAUAGAGCUGGAGAUAAGAAAGAAGUCAUGUACGUCUACGACUCUCACAUGGCUUUUGAGGAGUGUGGAGAUGCUGGACACUCAGGCAAUCACUGCCCUGAGAUGCUUGAGGACGUGAACUACAUAAACAACAAUAACAACUACUACUACAAUCGUCCUCAGCAAAAUCAAGGUUGGAAUCAACAGAGGCCUAACUACUCAGGUAAUUAUCAAGGUAACAAUUCUUACAAUAAUAAUAAUAAUUUCCCACCUUUGAAAGAGUUAGUGUCUAAUCAAGUAAAGCUAAUGGAUAACCUAUCUAAGAAAUUGGCAUCAAAUGAUAAAAUGUUAGAAAAUAUAAAUAAUAGAAUUGAUAAUUUCUCUACUGCCAUCAAGAAUCAAAUUAGCUUUAAUAAAAUGAUUGAAUCUUAGUUAAAUCAAAUAGCUGCUGUUGUUCCUGCUACUAACCCCGGUAUACCAUCACAACCGGAAGGAUUAGAAUCUGCAAAUCUUGUAGACAUGUUUGAUGUAGGUAACUACUAGAGUAACCCCGUUGUGGAAGUAAUUACUGACCUUCUGUCGGUCAAGAGAGGCGAUCCAGGACGCCCCGUCAUCCCGAUCUCCAUCGGCAUGGUGGAGUUCCCAGAAGCACUCUGUGACUUUGGCUCCAGCGUCAACAUUAUGCCCAGGGAACUCUAUGAAAAAUUCUUUACACAUCAUUUAUUUAAAACAACCAUGUGUUUGCAGCUUGCAGAUCGGACACUAAGUUUCCCAAAGGGAAUAUUGAAGAACCUCUGCGUCCGAGUUGGUACCUUGUACGCCCCAACAGAUUUUGUGGUGAUAGAGACCGGUACUAAUGAGAGGACACCCAUCAUCUUAGGGAGGCCAUUCCUGAACACCUUGGGAGCUGUCAUCUACGCUAGUGCAGUCAAGAUCAGUUUCUACAUCAAGGGGAGGAAGGAGACGUUUUCCUUCAAGAACAAGACUGCAAAAAUCCCAGAGCAAUCCCGACAUGAACCAAGGAAGAGGACCAACAGGAGGAACAAGAACAAGAAAGUGUGGAUCGAGUCAGCUAAGAUGGUCACUGCAGUUCACGGAGGUCAAGAUCGUCGACUCAAGUCACCGUUCCUGACAAGAAGGACGACCCAGGUAUGCCAAGCAUCCAGUGCUCCAUUAAUGUAUACAACUUCCAGAAGACGCUUUGCGACACCAGGUCGGGCGUCAAGAUAAUGGCCGCAGUCACCUAUCAGCUCCUGUUCGGAACAAUGCCCCUAAAACCGACAUACAUUCAGCUCCAGAUGGCAGAUCAGACAUUCCGAAAGGUUGAAGGUAUAGUAACUGAUGUCCUUAUCAAAAUAGACGAUCAUUUUGUCCAUACAGAUUAUCAGGUAAUUGACAUGGGAGAAGACGAGUACGAUCCACCCAUCAUCCUUAGGAGACCGUUCCUCAGCACCGUUAAAGCAAUCACCUACAUUGGAACCGGAGAAGUCCACAUGCACUUCCCCUCUGAGAAGGUAUGCCGCUAUUUUACUGACCCUAACUAUAUAGUUGAAGACUCUAAGCAGGUCAGGACAAGAAGAAGACGACGCAACCGCAACCAGAGGAGGCAAAUCAUCAAGGACGGAUGGGGAGACUACGAAGGAGAAGUGGUAAGGUUUGAAGACAUACAGCUUGAACAGAACUGUCCUGAGGAGACCGUAUGUCACACCCGGUUUUAAAGAACAAAACCAGGCUAGCCAUAUGUGUGCCCAGGAAGUCCACACAUACAACAACAGAAGCAAUAGUAUCAAAAACAAUGUUAUAUAGCGGAAGCAUACUUAUAAUUAACACUUACAUCAGAGUAUAGCGGAAGGGUAACUAAUCUACAGGCUCAAUCUUCACAGGGACGGUUGACUGGGGGUAACAUGUGCCUAGCACUUCUUGUAUCCUGAGAACGUCCUUCGUAGCUCCUCUGAUAACUCUUACUAGUAAACUGGAGUGGUGGGAAAUAGCAAGAGUGAGCACAUAUCGUACUCAACAUGUAUAACCAGGGGUUCAUGAGGCUCAAAAAGCUGACACCGGUUUGACUGCAUUUAGCUUUUAUAUGUAGAUAGCAUAUUCAUAAUUAGAUAACAAAUGUCAAGGUAGCAUAAUUAAUUCCAUAACCACAUGAUCAAUGUACACAAGAAUAAAGAAUAACUCAUAUAAAAAAUAUAAUAAAUCAUCCUUUAUCAUCAUUAUUCAUGUUCAUCAGUGUCCAUCUAUUCCGUCAGUUUUCCGGGCCGCCCGUAUCCGUGGGCACGGCUAGUAUACCAGAUUUAACACUCUGCAGAGGUUGUACAUCUUUACCCAUGAGUCGUGAUUUACCCUUUCGCCCGAGGUGAUCAGCCUCUUAACCCACUACCAAGGAAGGUCGGCAGGGAUCACUAUGAAGCCUUUCAAAAGUUCGUCUAACAUGUUAGGGUCGCAAGGUUUCCUUCGCGAGCAGAUAUAGAUACCCCCCUUCCGAAUGGCACAAUAACGCGCAGCCUAUACACAUAGGGACAGGGGCUCGCACUAUACCCGUGUCGGUUCAGCCCCUCUAGCGCCCUUUCAGGUAUCCUCUAACAAGCUAGAAAAGGUCUUCAUACUGAGCUAAAGCCAGAGCCAUUAUAGCCCUCAUGGUUGUACGAGUUGUCCCAGCUUUUGCCAAGGGAUAAGUCCUUACGGAGGGUCAAGAUCAAUCUAGCAAAAGCCAGAGUUCUUUCCACCCUUUAUAUUCAAGUUGUUAGAAAGUUUAUUUUAUUGCUUAUUGUAUAUCCAAAUAUUCUUGUUACAAGAUCAUGGAUUAAUAAUCAAGCACUAGCAAAAACUACCCAAUUGCAUAUCCAAAUAGGUAUCAAGGAAUUCAAGAUAGCAAGCAACUAUGAUUUCACUAGGGUUGUCAAGGUGAACACAUGCAUAUGAUAUAUGUGUAAUUAUAAGUGUAUAGGUAACAAGGAUGGUCCCAAGUUAUACUUGCCUUAAAUACUUGCUUAAUUUUCACACCAUCAGCUUUUGGUCAUCAUCUUCUAAUCUUCAACAUCCACAAACAGUUCUCGUCUACUCGUAUCAAGCACCACAUAUAGGCAAACAUACAAGCAACAAAUAGAACAACUAAGAACAAUACACCAUACAAGAUAAAGGACAAAUGUGCUAAAAGAGAGCUAGUGCUAUGAGAUCGUAAGAAACACCGACAAUGAGAAUACCAUUAGAAGAAAAGACUACCAUGAGUUUUAUAUUAUAGAAGAAACACCUACAAGCUUGAUUUAUAUCAAUUAAGAAAAACUAUGAGUAGUAUUAAUUCAGAUUAAUCCUAACAUAUUUAAUUUUAAAGGUCAAGUUAAACCUAAUUAUAUUUAUUCAUAAACACAAGUCUUAUCAUUUAAGAGAUUUAAACCUUAUGUUGUAAAUAAAAUAAGCAUGUGAGAAUAUUUAAUCGUAUUGUUUAUGACAUGUUAUUAAACUAAGUCAAAUUUUAAUUUAAAAACAUAUUUAUUUUGCUAUCAAGUUAAUAGUGGUGCAUAAAAAGAUGAUUGUUAAUUAAUCUCUAUGUUGUUUUUAUUUUGGAAUGUAGUGCGAACAGAGAUUAAUCAAUAUUAAUAUUUUAACUAAAAUUUUAGAAAACACAAAUCAUACUAAAUGUUGUUGUCGUACAGUAGACUACAUCGAUUCAGCUGUGACGCAGAAAAAAAUAUGAGCGGGGCUAAAGCGACUAAGAUAAAAUAAUGGCGGCGAGCAUAUAUAACUAUGGAGACUGAAUGACAAUCUGAGCAACCUCACGAUGCAUAAGAAAGGUACAAAAUCUUGAUUGAGGAUUGAGUAGAGAACAAAGAUUUAUCAUGCAUGAAUGACAAGGCAUGACAUCAGCACCAUAUUUGAUCAAUAAAAUAAUAGACAAAGAGGUGUUGCUGACUUUUUUUAUUAAUCGACCAGCAGAUGUAAGGAACAUCAAUUUAUGUUGUUGCUAACGAACAAGUUACGAGCAACAACGAUCAUUUAAUUUGCAGGGUUGCUAAGCUGAGGUGUCUUCGUGCUUGCUUGUGAGUGCACCAUACACAGGAACAUGGACGCUUCGGCUUGUAAACUUGAUAGCUGUGGUAAUUCACAAGAAUCCUUUAAGCAACAGCGAGACAGCACCAUAGAGUAGCCGGUUUACUCAGCUGCUAUCUUGUAAGACUAUUGAACACAGGACGAUUGACAGCCUUGUGGACAUACAGAUCGAAAGAUGAUACAACUGCCACGAAACAAAUAACAGCUGUGUACGGAAGAUUAGAUUCAUAUAAGCAAAUGUGAUAGAGAAGGUUUGUGUGCAUUUUCUCACCUCGUGUGAGGAGGAAACUACGACGUCGACGGCUGGGCCAAACAUGGAGCAAAAAGCGGCAGGAGUCGAGUGCAUCACAUGGUCUCCUCCUCACAUGAUGGAGAUCAGUAGCAGAUGCAUGUCGUCAGAUCGGCAACGUUAGCAAGCUAGCUAAUAUAUGUUGGUCACGUAUAUCCUCACAUCGUCAGCUGCAUAGAUAGAUACAUCUCCGGACGAGGCAACUAGGGCAUAGACUUGCAGGUGUUUUAGUGAUGGAUACAGAUUACUCUUUACGGUGAUUUUGGUGUGGUUUGCCCAUGGGGUUGGUACAUAUAUAUAUAGGGAGAAAAACUCUCUACGUCUACAUCAACUAACAAUAUGGUACUAAUUGAUGUUGCACCCUUCAUCUUUACUAAUAGGCCUAAUUAAUUAUUAAAGCCCAUUAGUAAAUAAAGACAUGAGUCUUUAGGAAUUAUUAGGAUUAUUGCACUUGGGCUUUGAGCGUUGGAAAAUAUAAAGAGAUAUUUAUUAUUUUCGGAAUUAAUUAUUUCCAUGGAUAAAAUAAUUCUAGAAAGUCCAGAAUUAUUAUGUAAGCUGCGAAAAAUAUUCUGAAAGCUCCAAAAAUAUGGGGAAAAUCUCAGAGACAUUAAGAAACAUGAGAAAACCAAAUAAAGUAUUUGGAGCUCAUGAUAUGAUUAUUUGGAGCAUCUAAAAAAAUAGACUAUGCUCACAAAAAAAGUGGAACGAGUUUCAAGAAAUGCUGAAAUAAUUCCCGGUAACUUUUUCGAGAUUGAUUGACGGUUGAGGAACUGAAAGGAGUGAUUUGGGUUACAGAAAAAAAAUUUGGAAAACUCGAAACGAAAACAUAGGCUGGAAAACAAGGAAUAAAGAUGUACCGGACAAGGAGCAAAUUUAUUAUUUUUUUAUAUUUUCAUGAGCACUCAAAUACAAAACUAAAUCAAUUUUUCAUCUAUUUUGAAAGGAGCAUAUUUUAGGGUGUUACAAUUCUACCCCACUUAACAGGAAUCUCGUCCCGAGAUUCGAAGAGACUAGAGAUAAUGAUAAAAGUGAUCAUCAAGGUUGUUUUGAGACUUUUGACGAGAUGAUUUAGGGAUUAAUGAUUAACAAAAAUUGACAAAGAUGUCAAAGAUUUAUUCUCAAGAUUCAUCCAUGAUUUAUGACAUGAGGUCAAAGGAUUCAAGAUCAACAUAGGUGGAAAAGAAAGAUCAACUAAGGUUAAAAUGAUGGAUAAAGGUUGAUCACUGGGUCUUCACCUUGUGAAGUUUAAAGUUAAGGAGUGAAGAUUUGUAAGAGAUAAUAUAAAAGAUAAAGAUACAUCUUACAAUGCUCACAAUUCCUUGAUUCAAGAUUUAUGAGACUUAUGAUAAAAGAUUAUUAGCAAGGAUUGAUAAGGAGAAUGAAGGUAGGUUCUUCAAUGUUAUUUCAAGCUCUAUGAUGAGAGUUGGUAAAAUAAGUGUAGACUAACAAGGGUCAACUUAGAAAAAUAAUGGUGGGUCACAAGAAACACAAAGAUCGAUGACAAGAAAAAUAGACUGAAAGGAUGAAGUUGACCUUUAGAUCAUUAUAUUAUAAAGUAAAUGAUCAAGUGGCAAGGACUAACAAAAGAGCAUAAGAGGAUGAUGAUUGAUGAUAGAAAAGAUAAAGUUUGAUAUACAAGAAAGAGGUAUACAAGAAAGCUAAGAUUGAUCAUAAGAUAGAAAAGAUUGAUUAUUAGAUCUUUAUGUCUUGAAACUUGAGAUACAUGAGAUAGAUGACGGUAGCGGACGCUACCCCACUUAACAAGAUUGUGCUACUACUCAAGAUGGUACCUUUCAUUCCUCCUCUAAAACACAAGAACAGAGAUGACACACAAAUAACACAUCAAGCAAGACAAGCACACAUCACAUCAUCGAAUCUAUGUUUCCUUCUCUUCAACUGGUAGGCAUCCUAAAGAGUGGAUUAUAGAUGAUGAAAGGCCAUCGCAAAUUUGAAUAAGGUGAUAUCAGAAAACUUUAGUAAAUCAAAAAAAAUCAAGGAGAUAAAAAGUAAUAACUCAAAGGUAGCUAUCAAGGAGGAGAGGCAAUGUGACAAGGAUGAGAAAUAGUAAAAUCAAUGGUCAAGGAGGUGCAAAAAUAGUUUCAUAGCAAAAUAGACUUUUCUAAUCGACCAGUGCUACCUAGGCAUACGUCCUACAGUCAACACUGCUCUGAUACCACUCUGUCACACCUGGUUUUAAAGAACAAAACCAGGCUAGCCAUAUGUGUGCCCAGAAAGUCCACACAUACAACAACAGAAGCAAUAGUAUCAAAAACAAUGUUAUAUAGCGGAAGCAUACUUAUAAUUAACACUUACAUGAAGAGUUACUGUAUGAUGAGAGCUUAAAUUCCUACCACAGCCAUAUAUACAUGCUUAUUAGACUAUGAACCAUACCUGUACCUUUUACUGCUUAUGAGCAUUGAGUGUGGUCAAGCUGUGUAGACCCUUAGGAGCUUGUCAUGCGGUUAAAAUCAAGAUUCACUUGCACGUUCACUACACAUGUUGCUUCUACUCCGGAAGUACGCAUCCACAUAUAUCCACUCAUUUCCAUCUCCAGAGCCACCCAAAAGUAUUCUACUCCUAAUCCGGGAGAGACUAGCCAAAAACAUUCUCCUAUUUUUGUUUUUCCUUGUGAAAUAAAUGCUCGAGUUAUCUUGGUUACUACCACUUGUUAUAUUAUUUCAGGAGAUGAGUGCUCUAAAAAAAGAAAAAAAAAGAGAAAGGAUACAAGGAAAUAAAAAGGGGCAAGUGCCCGGAACCUCAAAAGAAAAGAAAAAGUGAGACGAGAGGUAAAAAUGGACAAAUGUCUGAUAGUACAAUUAGGGGUACAAGAUACCCACCUGAGAGGAAAGAAAAAUAAAAUAUAGAGCAUCUCAUUCUCCUCAAAAGUUUCUAAGAUCAAGAAAGGUAUGUAUCCCCUCAAAAGAGCAAAAAGUAGAAUUAGACUUUCACCAUUGUUAUCACCAUCAUCACCAUACACCAUUCAUUCGCCACACAUGCACAUCUUGAUUUGACUUAUUGACUUGUUUCUCUAGAUCCAUGGUUUGACUAUGCAAUAAAUGUCUUGUAAGUAUGUAUAUUUUAUCUCCCACCUAUGAGCUCCAGAUAUCAAAGCCUUAUUAAAGUAGGGUGAGAGAGAAGGCAAGAUCACUAUGCUUCAUACCACAAAUACUACAUACUUUGAGAGAAGGCAUAUACCAUCAUUGCCUUGGUAAGGAUCCAGAAAUACCACAAAAGAGAGAUCUGAGAGAGUCAUACAAGGAAUCUCUGAGUUUUAUUUGAAAAUCUGCAAAAACUCCAGAGCUAUAGCUGAUCAAGAAUAAGAGACAUGACGCUUGACUAGACCGUUCUAUCUUUUAACUGCUCAAGACAGAAGUGAUGGUUACAAGUCCCAUGGUGAAAGGAGUAUGUUUUAAGUCUUGACGGUUUACUCUAACUUAGAGAUGAGACCUUAUUUGAAAGCAUGUGUACCGUCAAAAUUCAAAGGCAUUACAACAACUUCUGAUCCAUCACUGAGAUUAUCCUUGCUUAGGGACGAGCAAGAGGUAAGCUUGGGGGAGUUUGUUGAUGGUCCUUAAGUAUCAAAUAUAAUCAACAAAUAAAUAGAGAAAAGGACCCAAAUGCAACCGACACCCGCUCGGCCUCCCGUUCGUUGCCGUGGCUUCUGGAGUCUUCUAGAUGAUAGAAAAUUGCAUGACACGUUAAUAUCUCUAUGUAAACGCCGAGCAGGCCCGGGGACAGGGCACCCGCCCUCUCCCCUUGGGCACCCGCCCUGCUGCCAGGGCCAAUCAGGCUCCAUCUCGCGGAUAAUGCUCCACCGACCUAGAGGAUUAAGGAAAACCGUGCGAUUAAGGUCGGUUUGAUCCAACGGCCCAUAUUCAUUUGGAGGGACUAUAUAAGCAGGCCCCCUGGCUCCUGGAGGAGGCACCUCUGAAACCCUAAUUCAUUCAUUCAUCUCAGGAGAAGAAGUCUCUGAUAAAGCCCUAGAGCCACCACAUCAACUAGAUCUCUAGUUUAGCAUAGCUACAUAGGAAUAGAACUAGAAGGAGUCAAUCUUCGAUUGGUUUUCGGAUCUGUCAAGAGGAUUCUUGGUAACUCCUCUAUUGUUCUUCAUUUGUUUAUCAUUGUUCUUCAAUAUUAUGAAUAUGACUUUGUUCUACUUCAAUAUAUUGAUUAUGACUUUGCUCUACUUGUUUAUAUUUCCAAUUAUAUCAUUCUUAGUUUAUCAUAGUUAUAUGCUUGGCUUAGUUAGAUUGGAAUUAUAUAUAUGUUUAGGAUCGUAUAGCAUUUAUCCAUGUGUACAGUGGGUAAAUGAUAAGUAUCGUGUAGGCGUGGUGCCUAUACCAUAUUUAUCUACGAUUGUACCCUAUGUCGGAUCAUGGGGUAGUUUGUGGUGGUGACAGCUCCAUUGAUUCUUAUAUAGUCCCCCUCCCGUGUAUAGGUGUUGGGUAUUUUAAACGCAAACAAAAAAUCCGCAAGUGCACGGAUACGAUGUAGCUUUCACCCGGGAGUAUUCCAGAGUAUCGAUUUUCCACAGGGAACGUGAGUGUAGUAAUUAAGAUUCAAGAUCGCCUAAGGAUAACUAUAUAAUUAUUUUUGGUGGGAAGAGAGGAAGUUUCCUGAGAGUUCUCUAGUUGAUCUAAGAAUCAUGAAUUACUUCAAAGAUUAUUUAUAUUGGGACAUCAGAGCACUAACCAUAGAAAGAGAUGAGAAGGGGGCUAGGAAGGUCUGACUACUGUCCUACAAACACCGAUCCGAACGAGAUCAUAACAUGACAAAGGAUGUUUUUAAUGUAAAGUACUCCCCCAAGCUUGAAUUUUGCAAAAUUCAAGUUUGGAUGAAUUUAAUUCACUGUUGUAUGAUGAUUGGUUGGACAUACCUUGUGCUUGUCAUUCAUCCAAUCUUCUUGCUCUAAUCCUGGAAAGGUUGGUGACAAGAAUACCCG